rnacentral:lncRNA from 1 species
UUCUUUUUUUUGUAUUCAAUAUACCAUCGAACUUGUUGUCGGUGUUUACCAUAGCCCUUUUGACCGGCUUUUGACCUGUGAUAGCCGGUCAAAGGGCUAUGGUAAACACCAACAACAAGUUCGAUGGUAUAUUGAAUACAAAAAAAAGAAAAGGGACCAAAUGAGUACAAACGCAAAAGUUAAUUACCCUCAAGAGUCAUUUUCCCUGUUCUUUAAAAGUAUGUUUCGAAAAUAGUUAGUUGCGAUAUCGUCCGUAUAAAGAUAUUUAUUAAUUUUUAUAUUUUUAAUUGAACAAGCUAAUGAAAAACUUCCUUUCCAAUAUUUUUUUUCUUUAUCUUUUUAAGUCUCCUAAUUAAUGUCAUGUCACUUGAUUUUUUAUUUCAAAUUUUAAAUUAUUACUUUUUCAUUCUAAUUAUAUUAAAUUAAUAAAAUUAUAAUAAAAAUUUAAAUGAAAUUAAUACAUAUUAUAAGGUCACAUAUUUAUUUAAUUCAACGAUUAUAAUGUUAUAUAACUAAAAAAAAUAUCUAAUUAAUAAUUUAUUUAAAAUAAUUGAUUAAUAGUUUUGAGUUUUUACUAUAAAAAUUUAAUUAAUUUUGUAACUAUAGUUUUCAAAGGUUAUAAACUGAUAUUAAUAUAAAGGAAAAAUAGUUAAAAAAAAAACAAAAAACACCAAUGUUCUAUUUAUGUAAUUUGGCUAUUAUAUCGGGAGCAUUAUUAUAAUUGUAUCUUAUAUACUAGUUGUGAGACCCGUAUGUUAUACGGGUUGGAUAGAACAAAAAAAUUAAAUAUAAAGGUUUAAACAAAAAUUUAUUUAAAUUUGAAAUUUAAAAUUUAAAAUUUGAAUUUAAAAGGAAAUAUAUUCAAUAGUACAUGAGUUGUAAUAUUGUAAUUUAAUGGUUAUUUUCAAUUAAAGUAAUUAUUAAUUGAGAUGUAAAUAUGAUGUGUUAAUUAAGAAAAGACAAACAAUGAGAAAAUGACACAUGAAAAAAACAUGUAUUCAAAAAUACCAAAAAAUGACAUGUGUCCAAGUUAAUAAGAGAGUGACAUAUGGCAAAAUUAUUUUCAUUUAUUAGGGAGGAUUGAAUAAGCUAAUGAAAAACUUCCUUUCGAAUAGUUUUUUUUUCUUUCAUCUUUUUAAGUCUCCUGAUUAAUGUCAUGUCACUUGAUUUUUCAUUUCAAAUUUUAAAUUAUAACUUUUUCAUUCUAAUUAUAUUAAAUUAAUAAAAUUAUAAUAAAAAUUUAAAUGAAAUUAAUACAGAUUAUAAGGUCACAUAUUUAUUUAAUUCAACGAUUAUAAUUUUAUAUAACUAAAAAAAUAUAUCUAAUUAAUAAUUUAUUUAAAAUAGUUGAUUAAUAGUUUUGAGUUUUUACUAUAAAAAUUUAAUUAAUUUUGUAACUAUAGUUUUCAAAGGUUAUAAACUGAUAUUAAUAUAAAGAAAAAAUAAUUAAAAAUGAAACAAAAAACACCAAUGUUCUAUUUAUGUAAUUUGUAUUUAUGUAAUUUGGCUAUUAUAUCGGGAGCAUUAUUAUAAUUGUAUCUUAUAUAUUGUUUAUUUCUUUAAUUUUAAAUAUGGACUAUUUUUAUAAAUUUGCAAUCAUAGAUGGACCAUUUAUGUAUCUUCGUUGUUACAUAAUAACCAUUUCUAUAAUCACACAUGCAAUGACAAUUCUAGAAUUAAAACCAUGUGUUACUUAUGUAACUAUAACGAAAAAAAUAUGAGUAAAAGAUAUUAGCACUAUAACGAAAAAAAUCUGAGUAAAAGAUAUUAGCACGGUCAAAUCGUAUGCCCUAAAACAUUUAAACAUAAUUUAAGUAGUUGUAACAUCCAUAAAAAUCAUAAAAAAUCUAAACUUUUUAAACAACCCAAAAUCAUCAUUGUUUACAAAAUAGUUUUUCAAAAAAUGUCUAUUAUCAGAUUUUGCCCAAAAUCACAAAACCAAACCCGAGGAGGUGCACAAUCACGCCUUCGCCUUCUCGCGAUCAUCUGAGGUACCUGAAACAUAAUCCAAAACUGUAAGCCCAAAACUUAAUAACUUCCCCCAAAAUACAAAUGCACAAACAAUAGCACAUAUACAAUAACAACAUGCAAUGGGUCCACAACUAACAUAAUGGAUUACCCCUGAGCCCAUAACAUAAGUCUAGCCUACUCUCAGCCCAUAACUUAUGUCUGGCUGCUCCCCAACCAGAUCAGUCCUCAGACUGAAUACCACUAAGCCCUCAGUACGAGUAUGGCAUGCCCUUCAUGACCCUUAGCUCGUAUCUGAAAUGCUCAUGAGCCCUCAGUAUGAGUCUGAGAUGCCCUCCCCGGCCCUCAACUCAUAUCUGGCUUACUCCAGGGUUUGUUGGCUACCGCACGGAGCAGUACAACCUCAACCCAACCCACACAAUAUGUCUAUUUAUAACAAAUAAUAUCAUACACAUAUAAACAUACAGUAACACAGGUAGUCCUACAAAUCUACCAGAAUAGUAUGACAAAACUAACAUGCAUAUCUAUUCCACACUAAACAUAUCAACGAAUAUCGGGUUAUCAAACCAAUGGGUCGGCCUUGGUGCCUUUAACCCCGUAAGUAUAGUGAGGAAAACUCACAUCCUACUGUUGAAUCACACUGAAAGUCUCCGACUGCUAGCUCGCUAACAUCCUCGCGCUAUCACAACAAAAUAAUCAUCUAAUUAAUAAUUGGAUUACAACCUAAGCUAAUAGUCCAUCAUUAGGGUAAAAUGCCACUCUACCCUUUCCCUAGUUGGGCUAAGACCCAUGCCCAAAUCUUGAUCCAAAAGCUAAUAGUCCAUCAUGAGGAUUACAACCUAAGCUAAUAGUCCAUCAUUUGGUUAUUCCACUUUAACUUAUUUUCCUCGUUGGGAUGUGAGCCUAAAGAAUAAUCAUUUAUUUGACUACCUUUUCAAUCUUAAUUAUAUACGACUCGUAUACACGAGACUGUGAUUGAUGAACCAUGUAUGACUUCUAAUAUGAACUUCAGAACGGAGACUGCCCAAGACUACGAGUAAUCGCAUCAUCAUGCGAACAAAUUUAGAACCCAAUACGACUCCUGUAACCAGAUCGCCCUAUAGUCUAACACCCAUGGAGAUACAAGAACCGUCCGGACAGCUUAACGACUACUCAGCAAUGGAAUGGAAAGACCAAGCUUCUCACCCUGGAGAGCUCCGGUCUUAUUCUUCAAGAAGGUAGACGGAUUGUUUCAUAAGAGCAUCGACUUCAGAGACCUCGACAAGAUCUCCAUUAGAAACCAUUACCAUCUGCCUCACAUAGAAGAACUGGUUGACCAACCGCAAGGAACGAUGUACCUUUCAGGAAUGGACCUGAGAUCCGAAUAUCACUAGUUGCGAGUGUUAGAGAAGGAUGUCCCGAGGACAAUCUUCCAAACUCGAUACGGAUGUUGCGAGUCUGUAGUGAUACCCCUCGGAUAAGACCAAUGCGCCCGUAGUAUUCAUGAACUUAAUGAAUAGGGUACGUCAUUCUUACUUGGAUCAGUUCGUCAUUGUCCUUGUAAAUGACUUACUUAUCUACUCUCGUAGUAAGAAGGAAAUCAUGAAGAGCAUAUACAACAAACCAUAGAAACAAUACGAUCAGAGAAACUUUACGCAAAGUUCUCUAAAUACGAGUUUUGGAAAUGAAGAGUUGAAUUCCUAAGACACACUAUUAGUGAUGUGGGAAUUCUUGAGGACCCUUCCAAAAAUCAAAACCGAUGAGAAUUUGUCAGCACCAAAGACACCGACGGGAAUUCGCCAAAUCCUAGGUCUCGCUGACCUACUGUCGUAGCUCAUUCAGAACUCCUCGCAAAUUACGGAACCUCUUAUGACUCUGACCCAGAAGGGAGCGGACCUUGACUGGGAAGAGAAGCAACAGGAGGAAACCUUUGUAAUUCCAAGUGAGAGACCAAAUCCUUUUGGAAGUCUCACUCUAGGAAGGCUUCAUACCCGGAAAGUGUGGUAAGCUAAAUCCAAGAUAGUUAGGACCUCCGAGAUUCUUGCCAGAAUCAACCCUGUAACUCAUCCAACCUACCCGCGAACUCAGUAACGUACAUUUUACCCUCCACAUCUUGAACUUGAAAAAGUACCUUUCCGUCAGGACUCUUGUAAUCCCACUCGACGAGAUCAAGUUCAACAAGAGCCUCACCUUCGUGGAAGAACCUUAGUGACGAUGGACCGAGAGGUCAAGCGAACAAAGCGACACCGCAUCCCAUUAGUAAAGGUUCGCUGGAAUGCCAACCGAGGACCUGAAUUCACUUAGGAGCACGGGAAUCAAUUGAAUAGGAAGUAUCCCCACCUCAUUGCUUGAUUUUUCAUACCUACUUCCUUACCUAAAUUCUAAUUUCGAGACGAAAUUCCCUCUAACAGGGGGAUGAUGUGAUAACCUAAAAUUUUCCAUCCUGUUCAGUCUAACACUUCAUUGGAAGUCAAACUCAUUCCUGCUAUCAUUUAGCACAAUUUGGAGCCUGUUUGAGCGUUCUGAGCCUUGUACUCUUAAGGGAUAAGUGUCGGGGUUUAUCUGCUGAAGAUAUAGCACAAAGAACAAGUCUAUAUCACCUUGACAAGGAGUUCACGGCCACCACAUGGGAGUUUACGGUCGUAAACUCCAUGUGGGCCGUAAACUCCUCCUAUAUGUUGACAUUUUGGCCAUUUGUUCCAUUCUUUCACUUUCUUGGCUGAAAUCCUCUCAAGUACCAUCCUGAUCUUCGUCCCUGAUCUUCAAAACUCGUAAGUUUAUUGUCCUAAUUAGUUGAUAUCUUACAUGAUCUAGUGAUCUUACAUGACUUCAUCCAUGAAAUCAUUCCAUUUUGUAGAUCUUCAAGUUUCACCAAGAACACCAAGAAUACACACUAGUGUUCUUGGCCAAAACCGACCAUUCACGUGUUGGGUUUUGAGCAUUCUAACACUCCUAAGUGUACAUGCAACCCUAAAUACCUUGGAUCUAUGUUUUCUCUAUUAUACAUGAAAAUAUGAAUAUUCAAAGGUAUUCAUCCUAACUAGCAUAAUAACAUUGAUUCAUAUGAAUAUCUCAAGUUAGAAUUACAUACCUCUUUGAUGUAGAAUGUCUUCACGAAGCUUGAGUGCAUAGUGCCCUAAGUGUGACACCUCAAAUGGUUCACACAACACCAUAAAAACUUGGAAUAACCUUGAGAAUAAGGAUACUUUGGUUCUCUUUAGUGAAAUCGGCUAGCCCUCUUAGUGUACCUACACUAGUGUCAAUUUCACCAACCAAGGAUAUCUUUAUAUAGUGUGGAGAUUAGGGUUAAACCCCAAUACCCAUGACCUUUCAUUUCAUAUGAUCCAUGGGUUGAACACUCCAUGGACUAUCCAUGAAAGCUUAGCCCAACCUAAAUGAACUUGGCCCAUCACACAAAUAUAUCUUAGAGUCCAUAUUUAAUUAGUUCCUUUUGAUCACUUAAUUAAUUAUAAAUUAAUUAUUGAUCAAUACUAAUUAAAUAAUAUGGUUAUAUAUUAAUAUAUUAGAACUUAUAAUAUAUUAAUAUAAAUCACUGGUAUCCUUUUUCCUCAUCUUGUCUAUCCAAUUGUCCCGAUGCCAUGCAACCCAAAUGGACCAUGCCGGGUCGGGUCAAGUCUUACCAAUUAUAGUUAUGGACUUAGAAAUUAAUCCAAUAGUCUCNUGGCAAUCGUAGCUCUCAAAAGCUUCUGUCGAACUCUGACCUUGUCGAUGAACUCUGACCUUUGUCAAUGACUUGUCCAUUAGAUAAGGGAUCAUAUAUUCCUCCAUUCUAGAUAUCAUAUGGACUAAGACAUGGAUUAUAAAUCAUUCUCUCUGUCCAUUUGUUGUUUCCCAAUUUCCGAUUCAUGACGACUGACUGAUUGAACAAAUCAAAUCAGUCCCGGCUUGGCCAAGCACUCACGUGUAUCAUCAUUUAAAUCAUCGAGGGGCCCACAUAUAUCGCUUUUAUCCCAAAGGUAAAAGGAAUGGAUAAACUUCGACUCAUAUGACUUGUUCUACUACUUGUUGAAUCAUACACAAAGGCACGUUUUAUAACAUCGAGUUACCGAAUGCGUUUUCGUGCAAUCAAUGUACAACCAACUCAUAGUAACAACUCAUAUCUCUAGGUUUGAAGAAUAUAAGAUAUUAUCGUCUCAUGAUCACUCGUGAUAAAAUCCAUGAAGUGAUUCAAAUGAGCGCGGGUUGAAUCCAAUACUCAGAACUUAUGAGCACUCAUGAGUGUUGUAGCACAACUUUGUCCACCAACUUGGACCUCUACAAGCCAACCCAUGACAGUCUUGAUUCAUAUCUACUUCCAACAUAUGACCGACUGUGGAUGGUUUGAAUAACUUAGUCAUUCCGGAAGAAUAACCUAGUUAAUGAAAGUCAAAACAUGCAAAGUGAAACACAAGAAUUAAUUAAUCAAAUAUGGUAUCAAAUCCUAUGAAUAUAAAUAGACCACUUUUAUUUAUCACCAUACUGAUUACUCAUUAUUCAUUGUUUCGGUUUUAUCAACUUUAUACCUGAAUUAAAAACACUAGUUGUCCCAUGCUCCAAGCAUGUACACUAUGUUUUUCUAAACAAUAGCUUUGCCAUACACCAAGUAUGCACUCUAUGUUUGUCUAUGAUCCUUUUCUCUGUGAGCUAGAUCAAUUGAACAUAAUUUCAAUGAUUCUCUUUUCACACUCCCAAAUCCUUGUCUUAAAUGUAAGAAUUCUAAAUUCCUAUCAUUUAUCGAAAUAUGUUUAGAUUUUAAACAUAUAUGCAUUGUUCCUCUUGUAAUGAUUAUGCGUAAAGCCACAAAGACUUGGCAACAAUCAUUACAAAGCAUUCCAAUGGAAAGCAAUUCCAUGGAAACGAAGUCUCAAAGCACAUUGCUUUGAAUAUCCUUCUUGCAUUAAGUUUUUCUAAUUUUACACAUAUAACUUCCACCUAUGGAGACAACUCCAUAUUCCUAUUUUGACUACUACUUAUGAACAAGAGUUGUCUCUUUUCUAGAAUAUGUCAAUAUGGUCCUUCCAAUAUUAACAAUAUACUUCCAACAGUCCUUGAGCAACCAAUCUUUGGUAAAACCUUAGAUUGUCCUCGACAAUUGUUUAAUCACUUUAGUCAUAUCCGAUUCUAGACCUUUUUUCCCCUUAAUGCCCCAAGGCAUUUGGAAAAUUUAGAAAGGAUAAAUAUUAUAGCACAUGCAAUCGAUCUUGUACCCAAAGCAAAUGGGACACGAUUCAUGAUGUCUCACAUAAGGACAUGAUUCUAGACCAGUCUUUUGCUACAAUAAUUUUUGUUUGCCAUGUUUUCAAAAUUUGACUAUGAAGAGGGAUGUCGUAAUCAUAACUGAAUUUUGAGAACGCAAUAUAUAGAAUUUCCUUAAGUUGAACCAAUCCAAAAUGAAAUUCAUAUAUAUAUAUAUAUAUAUAUAUAUAUAUAUAUANCAAUUGUUUAAUCCUUUUAGUCAUAUCCAGUUCUAAACCUUUUCCCUUCUUAAUGCCCCAGGCAUUUGGAAAAUUUUAGAACGGAUGAAUAUAGCACAUGUAAUCGAUCCUAUAUCCGAAGCAUAUGGGACACGAUUCAUGAUGUCUUACAUAAAGACUAAACCAGUCUUUUGCUAUAAUAUUUCCAUUUCAAUUUGCCAAGUUCUCAUAAUUCAGAUUAUGAAAAGGGAUGCCGUAAUCAUAAUCGAAUUUUAGAACGCAAAUAAUGGACCCAUAUACAGAAUUUCCUUAUGUUGAGCCAUUCCAACAUGAAAUUCAUAUAUAUCCUUGACUAAAUGAUUAAAACCUCACGAUCUAAGCUUAUAGAUUUGAGAUGAAGCAUAAUUUCCUCUCCCUUAAUUAUAGCAAAACAACUUUUUCCCAAUUGAAACUUUUGUUUUCUAUAAUUAACAUUGCUAACUUGCAAUACUUAUCAUAAUUAUCAUGCUCCCACUAACAUGAUGAUUAUUAGCAUAACACUUAUGCUCCCACUAGCUUUGACAUGUACUUAGAAAUCAGCUGGACUUCUAGAAAUCAAUACUUUAUUGACUUUCUUACCAAAGUUCAGAUUUUUGAUACUAGAUUGCUUUGAUAAAACUUUAUCAUAAUCAUACACCUUAUCUUAGAUAGCUCACUGAUAUGUCUACACAAUUUCAAAACUAUGAAAAGGUAUGUCGUAAUCAUAGUCUCAAUUGUUUAGACCUUUGUCACUUCUCUCAAGUCUAUGUUAAUGUGUCGAUAAACCACACACGCUCCACUAAUGACUUUGAGAGUGCAAAUAUCACAAUUGCUAUCUACUUAAAAAAAUCUACUUAGUGAAAGUGUUUCCUCACCAUCAUUUUCGUGAAUCGGAGAGAAACCUUAUGACACUUAGAUUUUUAUGGUGUAUGAGUUCUUACCCAUAUGAAUUUGUCAAAACCAUAAUCACAAGACAAGGUUAGUGUCAAAUCCAAACUCAUAUGGAUUGAACUUGUGCAAUCUUAAGUUCUUGCCCCCUGGCAACACAAGGGCCUGUCAUAGCUUCCAAGUAGCUGUGCAACCAAUUGAGAACUCUCAGAACUACUAUGCAAAGUCAACUUGAAUAGGCACAAAAAUGUCAACACGAUAUGUUAUACACCUCAAGUCGUGUGCUAGUGAAGAAUUUCAGGUUUUAUUCUUGACUAGGUCUUGAAACUUUCAAGAGCUUUAGGACUCCCACUGUCCUCUUGACAUAUAGGACUCACUUGCCAAAUAUACAAGAGAUAGUGCAGAUUCUUUAUCAAGACAAACACUUCACACAAUUGCUCUAAGUUGGUCUCUGUUUUAUCCAAAACAUCACAACUUACCAAUUUCAAAUGUACAAGAGUAGAUAACCAUUUACUCUUACAUUUGACUAGUGUUAAUAAACCUUCUUUAAGAUAUGUCAUUCAAGUCACAAUCUUGGAGUAUGACUCUAAGAAUUGUUUUGGAACGAAGUAUGACUCAUCUUUUUGAUUUAACCAUUUCAACAAUUCAUGACUCCUCUUCUUAGUCAUAAAAAAAAUGCACUAAGAGGACCUUAGAGGAUCAAGUGUGAUAUGGUAUCUUAAUCAUUAAGAUGAUCAUAAACAUGAUACUAAAGUACUCUCCCAUAUUUUCAGAUUUGAGAAACUUUUAUCUUUCUGCCAAAUUUGAUUAUUCUCAUUCGUUCUGCCAUACAUUGAAGUAUUUUCAAUGUUUCAGAAUUAUACUUAAACUUGUAAGUAUAACCAUAUUUACUAAGCUUUAGUAAAUCAUGACGAAUAUUCUUUGUGGUGGACCUGACCAGCACACACCCAAGUGUACCCGAUCCCUUUGUCCUUCCCUUGACUAAUAUAUACAUGUGAACAAGGAAUUAGUCUUAAUUUUCCAAAUAUGAAAAUUUUCAUUCAUCAUACUAUACAACUUGCAUGAUUCCAAGUUUCGGUCCAAUUUAAACUUGGGUGAUGAAAAUCUUUCCUUAUUUGGUAAAAUUAGACACUACCAUAGAUGAAAGAAUCAAAUCCAUAUUCAAUAUUGCUAUCAAUGGAAUCUUAUAAGCAACAAUUUUUCCACAAAUGCCAUUGUAAGGAUACUGAAAAUAAAUGAAAUCAAAAAUUUUCCUUUUAUUUUAAAAUUUUGCGGAAAACCUUAUCCUUACAAUCCAUAUGAAAACCUUGUUGUUAUCUAUACCUAAGCAAUAUAUCAUAACUCUUAAGCAACAACUCAAAAAUUCUGAUCACCGAACCAUGCGAUCGAAAUCCAUCUUCGCAAUCAAAAUCAGCAUAUACUUCCUUUAAGUUUCUUUACUUUUCUUUGAUUCUUAAAACAUCAACAUGUGACCCAGUCACAUCAUGUAAUUAGAAUCUCCAAGUAGGAACUUAAUAGAGUUAGACAAUGGACUAUACCUGAAAUAAAGUCAUACUUAUUGACUUUACCAUCCUUAGGUAAGUUUGGCAGCUUCGUAACCAAAGCCCCUUCCUUUGGCAAUAGAAACAUAUGGAACAAUAGUUAUUGGUACAUGGGACUAUCUCAGACUUAGCUUUUCUCUUUACCAUUUGGUCAACCAAGUUGACUAUGGCCAAUCCCUUUCCAUUAGGAAGAGAAAGCAUUUCUGGAUUUCCUGUGUCACUAUUGUCCCUGUCCAUAAAGUUUUGGGAAGUUGAUUUCCUAAUCAAAUUUGCUUUACUAGUACACCAAAUCAUUUCUGAUUUAGCAGCACCAAGCAAAUAGAUAAGAUCAUUAAGGGUCUUGUCAUAGUCUAUUUCAUAGGAGUCCCAAAGGAAUUCACUAUGUGACUUAGAAAGUGAUUGAACAUCCACUUCCUUUAGACUUUGACACCCAACUCUCCCGGCUUGUGAAUACAUGACAUAAUUGGAGGAGGUGAAAGAAGUAAAGUUCCAAGAGAUUUGGGAAGAUCAUAGAUGUCUGAACUUAGACAUCUUUUGGGAGAUAUUCAAGAUAGUUGAUCUAAAGUCCUUAAUAUGACACCCAAUAUGAAAUAUUAAGGCUAGGACCCAACAAACUAUUUUAUAACUUAGAAGAGGUAUGCCGUAAUCCAAGCUAUAAAAUAUUUGAAGGUAGGUGAAUGACGAUUCACCAAUUUCCACCAAGAUAAACGAAAUGUAUUAUUAGGUUUUAAUUGGUUUUGAAACUCCUAGAUCUUUGAGAUUCAUUGAACUGUUCAAAGGCAUGUUUCAAUCUCGAGUGUGCCCUUCAGGUUUUGUGACUGGGAUGCCGAGGAUCACAAAACAAGGUGUGAAGUAACCAUGCAAAUCACUUGGUACCCUUAAUAAAUUACCCCUCAAUCGAUGUGUCGGUUAACCACACACGCUCCAUCGAUACUAUGAUAAACAUUAAGUUACCCUUUGCCUACCUUGUUAAGUCCAGGUUAGUGUGCCGGUUAACCACACACGCUCCACUAACUGAUUUAAACAAAGUGCAAAGUGUAAUUUCAUGGAUCAACACCACAUUCACAGUUUCCUAAGUAACUAAGAUUGGGAAUUUCUAAGUGUUUAGUUACUUAGUAUUUAUCAUUAAUACUUUCAGUGAAGGGAGAAUUAUAUUCCUUGUCCUACCCGUUUGGCUAACGACCCUCCACCAGUCAAGGAAGCGGUGGGUGAGAGUGGACACCCAUUAAACUGUCAUUUUAUAGGCAGUAACCUUAUACCCCCCUUAUAUACCGGCUUCGUGAAUGAGGCCUACUAUUGGUAAGACGACUUUACUCUUAUACAUAUAUAUAAAUAUUAUUAACUUAUAAUAUUAUAAAGUAUAAGGGUUGAAUUUUAACUUUUAAAAUUCUAAGGGCUUAACUUAUAAUUAAAGUAUUCAUGAGGAAAACUUUAUAAAUUCCAAAACUUGAGGGCAAUUUUUGAACUAUUCAAAACUAAAUAAUUCCAUAACUUAUGUGUUUAAAGUAGUUUUAAUUAAAAAACUAUUCAAGUUCCAUAACUUGAGAACAAGUUAUGGAAGACUUUAAACCAUUAAAGAAUGUGACUCUUCCUUAUUCAUAACUUAUGGAUUUAAUUAAGGUUAUACAUUUUUUUAUUUAAUGAAGAGACUCUUGAACCUCCAUAACUUGAGGACAGGUUAUGGAGCCAUAAAAUCAUUUAAUGAGGACAAGACUCUUCAUUUUGUAAUCUAUGACAACUUUUAUGAGUUUUAAGAAAUUUAAAUGUGAUUUUUCAUGNAGGUGAAGAUCACCUAUUCCUAAUGAUUAGGUCCAACCUUCCAUGUUCCACUUCCUCAAUGUCUCUUAGCCCCUGUAAAUUAGAACACAUUUGGAAACCACAUCCUGUGUCAAGGACCCAAGAAUGAGAAAUUUGCGUGGCAUUGACUUGAAUAGUGUAAAUACCUAAAGUGGACGCCUUGAUCUUCCCAUCUUCAAGUCAUGCAAGUGUUUCUGGAAAAUUCUUCUCCAAUGAUCCUUUUCGCCACAAUAGAAGAAAGUGGCCUCUUUGGGAUCACUGAUCACAGGGACAUCAAAGUUAGGCUUCGUCUUGGACCUACUACUAGACCCUCCAGUAUGAGCCUUCCAUUUGCAGUUGGAUUGGGAAGGAGCCUUCCUCUUUUUACCUGUACCAGAUCCAAUAGCCAGGACAGGAGCGUUUUUUUCAGAAGAAACAUGAUUCUUUUUCAUCACCGACUCAGCAAUUUGCAAAAUGUUGUGGAGCUAGAUCUAUCUCGUCUCUAUGUUGUUCAAAUGAAAAGUUAGAACAAACUGAUCAUAACUAGGAGGAAAAGAGUAAAGGACCAUGUCAAUGACCAACUCUUUCUCAAACGACUCAAUAAUCCUUUCCAUCUGCUCCACUUAUCUCUGCAUUAUCUAUACAUGAGCAUAGACAAAUUCUCCUUCCUUAAGCUUCCAUGACAUAAGAGACUUGACCACUUCAUAGCACUUUUGUCUUGCUUUCUUCUGAAACUUUUCAGCAAGAUCAAUGCACAUUUCAUAAGGCCAAUAGUCCUCAUCGAACUUUUCCAGCUUAGGUGCCAUAAUGGCCACCAUGAUGCAAGCGACCUUAGUGACGUCAUCAGAGUGUUCAUAGCACUCUCUUACCUAAGAAUCAUAUUCAGGUUACUCAUCCAGUCCUUGUAGUUAGGACCAGUUAGUUUCUCCUUUAAUAGAACUGAGAGAAAAGUGAAGUUUCGAUUGGGGAGUGGUAGUUUGUGUAGUAGUGAGUUCACCGGUUCCAGACAUCUAUAAAGAGUCAUAGUUUUUAGUUAGUGAUAUAAAUCCUUAAUAAUUUAACCAAAAAUUGAUAUUCAAGGCUAGGAUCCAAAAUACAAUUCACAAUAAAGAAAAGGGAUGCCAUAAUCUAAUUGCAAAUGUAUCAAGGUAAUUAAUACAAAUUUAACAAUUUCAAUCUAAUAUGAAAUUCCUAGAUCAAUUGAGAUUCAUUGAAUCUUAUCAAUGAAAUGUUCAAUCUCAUAUUACAGACUUCAAUUUGUGACUAGGAUGCCGAGGAUCACAAAUAAGACGUGAAUAACUAUGCAAACCUGCUAGACAACAAAGAUGAUUUAUCAUCUUGAAUUGAUGUGCUCGUAAACCCCAUACGCUCCAUCAAAAAUAAUAAUUUUCGAUUUGUCCAUCACUCAACUUUAUAAACCCAAAUUAGUGUACUAGGAAGCCAGGCAUGCUCCAUUAAUGACUUAUAAAGAGUGAUGUGCGUUUUCAUGGAUUAACAAACACUUCAUAUUUUUCCUAAAGUAACUAGAGUGUGAUUCUAAAGCGGGUUAUGUUACUUUAUAGCAUCAUACUUUUAGAGUUUAUGUCCUAUCAAACCUGUUCGGAUAAUGACCCUACACCAUACAAGGAAGCGGUGGGUGAGACUGGACACCCAUUCAACAAUCAUUUUAUAGGUUUUCUCCUUAUGCCCCCUUAAAGUAUGACUUCGUGAAUGGGGGCAUACUAUUGAUUUGACUCACUUUUCUUAUACGUAUAGUAUUACACAAUUAAUAUUACAUAGUACAAGGUGUAUGUAACAUCCCAAGUUUUUUCAAUUAUAGUCCUUGGGGAUGGAAGGGUAAAGCCAUGAAGAGCCUAAGGGCUAAAUUGUAAUCUUGGGACCACGAGGAGUACACAGCAUUUACAUAGGGUACGUUGGGCGUACUAGGGCGCGCCCUAGUACGCUGGAUGUACACUUGUGUAUGCUAGGCGUACUCAUGAAAGAUGAAAACCCUAAUAUCUCAAGUUCGGGGCUAUAUAAGCAUCCUUAUGGCUCAUUUUCUCUCCUACGAUCCACUCACUGCAGGUGAGUUCAUACCCCUUAAUUAACCUUUAAAUGUUUCUAAAAUUUUAUAAAUGCUUUUAUGGGGGUGUAACAUCCCAAGUCAGAAUCAAGAGUUCAGGGGGUAAAGUGUAAGCUUGGAAAAGAGGGACUCGGCGAGUAGGAGUUGCAACUAGCCGAGUCUAAGCAUGUGCCGGGCACAUGUUAAGUGACCGGACGCCGAGUCGGAGGCUGGACUCGACGAGUCCGUGCUGGAAUGAGAAACCUAAUUCCUAGGGUUUGCACCCUAUUUAAAGAAUAAUAUGUCUUCAUUUCAGCCUCUAUCUUCCCUGAGAGUUCCAGAGAAACCCUAAAUCGUGAGAGACUCCAUUGUUGAGAAGAUUGAAGCUUGGAAGUAGAAAUUGGUGAAUAGAAGCUGGAGGAAUUUGGGGAUAGCAUCAAAAGAGCUUGUGGAUUUGAAGUUUACAUCAAUUUAGACUCAUCUCUAAGGUAAGAGGACAUUACCUUAAGCUACUUCCUUGUUAUUUCAUGAAUGGUGGUUGAUUUGGAAUCCAUUAGCUUGAUUGGGAUCUAUCUUGACUUUGAGGCUUACAUCUGAAGUUGCUACUUCAGAUCUAGACUUUUGAUGGCCCAUCAGGUCACAAAGUUCCUGUCUUAGAGUCAUUGGUGAAGCCCUUUGUCUUAAACCCUAGCCCUAGAAGUGUUUUGGGCUUAUAUCUCCUUGCUUUCACGUAAAGUUUGCAACCUUAUGUGAGGGUUAGGUUGUAGAAGAGUGGAUCUAUGGAUUGGAGUCCCUGCAUGGCUUGAAAAGCCUCUAUUUGGAAUGAGAACUAAAGAGACUCGGCGAGUCACAUAAGUGCACUUGACGAGUUGUAUGAAUAUGUGCAUGGACUCGGCCAGUUGGAAGAACAACUCGGCGAGUCUGUUGAAGAUUGCUUUGGACUCGGCGAGUCUGGUUGUGGAAUCCUAACAUUUUCUUGUUGAGUUGUGAAUCGGUGAGUCGAGGGAUGACUCAGUGAGUUCAGCNUAGCUUGUUGGACUCGACGAGUCUUGGGGCAACUCGGCGAGUUGAGUCGUGGCAUGGGAGUCUCUGAGCAUAGGAACUUGACAAGUCAACGGGUUGACUCAGUGCGUAGGGUCAACCAAGAAGGUUGACUUUGACUUGGACCAAGGGUUGACCAGUUUGACUUCCAAGGGUAUUUUGGUUAUUUUUGGAAUUGGUUCUUUGGUAGUGUUCUGUGGUGAAGAUCGUGUUGGUGGUCGGAGCAGCUUGGUCUUAUCUUUCCAGUCGGCAAUUGCAGGUGAGUUAUCCUCACUAUAUCGACAGGGUCUACGACACCAAGGCGGCCCUUUAUCGGAUGGAAAUCCGAGUAUUGUUUGUUAUGUUGUUGAUAUGCUAGAUCUGCAUCCUGGUAUUUAGGAUGGUGUUAUGUUAGUGACCUGGUUAAGGUCGGUACCCGGUAUAUAGGGUAAUGCUAUGCAAGUGACCGGUUAGGUUGGAAUCCUGGUUAGGAUGUUGAUAUGUUAUGUGAUCUGUUGGACUGUUUGUCUGGUUAAGGAUUUGUUAUGUGAUUAAUUGGUUUAUGUGCACAUGGUUGUUUGACGGGGGUUGGGUUGAGGCGGGUCCUGCUUUGUGCUGUAGGCCAACAUACCCAGGGCGGACCGGAUAUCCCGAAGGCCCAGCGAGCGGUCCGGAUAGGCUGAAGGCCCCAAGAGGGCGGACCAGACGUGUCGAGGCUUGGAGAGUGGACCAGGCCGACUGAAAGGCCCGGUGUGGACGAACCAGUCAUAUUGUAGACUUAGAGAGUGGACCAGAUGGAUUGAAGGCCCGGUACGGGCGGACCAAUCACACUGUAGAAUCGAUGUACAUGGCUAGACUUGGAGGGUGGAUCAGGUGGACUGAAGGCCCGGUGCGAGCGGACCAGUCACACAGUAGACCCGAUGUGCAUGGCUGUUCUAUUUGUGAUAUGUUAUGAGUAUGUUUAUGUGUGGUUGGUUUUGGGGGCANAAGCUUUCGGGCUUACAAUUCAGUGUAUUGUUUUAGGUACUUCAGGAGAUCGUGGCAAGGCGAAGGCGUGAUCGUACCGCUCCUCACAUUUUAUGAUUUAUGUGAUAUGGUUUUGGGGAAUACUCUGAUGUUUAAACUAUUUUGAAAACAAAUGUAUGAACUUAAUGGUUUUUUAGUGAAUUAAAAUGUUUUAAAUUGGCUCGAAUUUUAUGGGUGUUACAAGUUGGUAUCAGAGCCUUGGUUUGAGUGAAUUGGAGGAACAUUCAUGUGAAUCCAGUCUCAAAUCUAGGAGGGAUUUUCAAAAAUAGUUUUCAAAAGGUUUUCAAAAUAAGUAAAGGAGAACGUAGAGGGUACGAUCAGUCGGAGCCAGUAAGUAGACCCCAAAUACCAUACAAGUUAUUUGAUUAUGUGAUAUGUUAGAACAACAUGCUAGUACUAGGCUAGGGAUAUUCAGGAAUUUCAUGAUAGAAUUUCCUGAUUGUAUGAUGCCUGCUAGCCUAGGGUUUCCUUUGUAUGAAAUUGACAUCAUUACUGUAGUUAUUUAGUGUAUGCAUCACGGUUAUACAUAAUUAAGAUCUUAUAGCCUGGGAAUGUUUGAUUUGGCCUUAUGUUUUUUUCUUGUAUGAUUGGGAGCUUAGGGUAGGAUUGGGUAUUCGAAAGUCUAUAGGGUCCAACGUUAUGUAUGACUAGCAUACACCAGUACUGCAGGGUUGGUGGAAGUUUCAUGGGUGGGUAGGUUGCGUGAGACCAGUAGGUCGAUUAUGAGAUAGUGGUGCCCCUCUAGGAGUGGGGAUCGAAUGUUCGUUGUGUAUAUGCUAUUGUUAGGGUGUUGUGGUGAUACUUGAUACAAAUAUGGGUAGGUGUGGAAGUUAGUAUGGGCCCGUACUACUGAAAGCAAAGGACCCAUAUGCGUAUCAAGGAAGUCACAACCCCUAGGGUUUGUUGGGAGUUAUUUCUCGGGAAUAUUAUGAGGAAUUCCUAAUAUUUUGUGGCGUAUUAUCAGUAUGGCGAUUACGAGACGUCUCGGGGCAGGAUCCGGUUCGGGAUCGGGAUCAGGAGAGGGUGGUCAGGAGGGAUCAGUACUGAUGGGUUUUGGUCAUAAGACAUCCUAUGUGCUCAUACAAACCCUAAUGCUUGGAUCUAGGUUUCUCUAUUGUACAUGCAAGUUAUCCAAGACUAUAAACCCUAAUUCUAGCAUACAAGUAAUCAUAUUAACAUAAUAAUAGGUUUAUAAUGUUACCUUGAUUGUUAUGUAGCAAUAACAAUCCCAAAUCUCCUUGUAUUGGCUUUGGAAGGCUUAGAGUCACAAGUGUCACUCCUCUAAUGGUUCACAAACACCAUAAGCAAGAGGAUGAAGAGGAGAGUGGAUGGAGGCUACCAAAACUCGUGUGAAACCCUAGCAAGAAGCUUAGCCACGUUUUUGGGUCAUAAGGGAUCCAUAUAUAUAGGAGGCAAUUAGGGUUAUCUAACAUGGAAACCCUAAUUUGGUUGCUUAAGCCCUAAGCAACUCAUGGACUCCUUUAAUCAAGCCCUUGGACGAUUUCAUAUGGGCUUCCCCCAUAGAAUUCGUCCACCUUAUAAUAAAAGGCAAUCCAUGGCCCAAAUUGCAAUUAUCUUAUAAUUACAAUUCCAGUCCCUUAAGUUUAAUUAAUCUCUUUUAGUCACAAAACUAAUUACCAAUUAAUUAUUGACUAAUAUUAAUUAAACAAUAUGAUUUCUCCUUUAAUAUAUUAUUCUCAUAAUAUAUUAAUAAAUCAUAUUUAAUCCUUUCUCUCCAUAAUUCAUCCUAUCAAGUUGCUUUGGUGAAGGCAACCCAAAAGGACCAUGCACCAUCGGGUCAAGUACAUACCAAAAUAGUUAUGGACUUAGACACUAAUCCAACAGUCUCCCACUUGGAUAAGUCUAAUAACUAUUAUGCGUAUGACUUCAGAUCCUGAUCUGCAAUCGUAGCUUUCCAAAGCCGCUGUCAACUCUGAUCCUAUCAGAUACGCGUGUCCUUAGAUAAGGGAUCAUAUAUUCCUCCAUUCUAGAUAUCAUAUGAGAUAUGAUUUCAAAUCAUUCUCUUUGUACUAUAUCUCGAUUCCCGAUUUAUGACGACUGACUAAUUGAACAAAUCAAAUUAGCCCUAGCCCGGCCGAGCAUUUACGUUUGUCAUCACNNNNNNNNNNNNNNNNNNNNNNNNNNNNNNNNNNNNNNNNNNNNNNNNNNNNNNNNNNNNNNNNNNNNNNNNNNNNNNNNNNNNNNNNNNNNNNNNNNNNNNNNNNNNNNNNNNNNNNNNNNNNNGGAGAUUGUUACAAGACAAUUCCAUAGACGUGAUGUCUCUCACUCAAAGUACAUUCUUUGAACAUCCUUUUGCAUAGAAGUUUCUAAUCUAGUCAUAGAUUUCUCAAUAUUCAAUUCCCAAUAUGGACACACUUCCAUAUGUUCCAUAUGACAACUCAUUCUUAAUAGAAUCUUAUCUAUUCGUAAUGAUGUCGAUAUGGUCCAUCCAAUAUGGAAACAUUUCCAUAUUUUCCAACACUAUACUUCCAACUACUCACAAGCGACCAAUCCUCGACUAACUUUGGAUUUUCCUUUGAUAGUUGUUUAAUUAUUUUAGUCAAANNNNNNNNNNNNNNNNNNNNNNNNNNNNNNNNNNNNNNNNNNNNNNNNNNNNNNNNNNNNNNNNNNNNNNNNNNNNNNNNNNNNNNNNNNNNNNNNNNNNGAAGGCGCCGGCUUGAUCUGUACACACGCAGGAGACUUUGAUAUAGUUAUGUGAUCUUGGGAUUUUUAUGAUACAGACUUGAAUUUAAAACUUAUUGUUCUUAUGAAAUUAAAUGAGAAAUGUUUUUUAUAUUGCGAAAAAUUAUUUUGAAAUUCACGGUGUUACAAGUUGGUAUCAGAGCCUUGGUUUGAGGGAUUCGAGUACACCUUCGGGCGUAUUUGAACUCAAACUGAGGAUUUGAAAUGUAUUUUCAAAAAGAGUAAAAGAUUUUGAAAAACGCAGAGCAAGAGAUAUGUGUACGAUCAGUCAGCGCCCGAACGGUGAUUUCCCAAAAUACCCUUGUAUAUUAUGUGAUAUUGAUAUUGUUAUGAUGUGUUCGCAUGCUAGAGUAGGCUAGGUAUUGCUAUUAGGACUAGAGUGGCCUGAUUUGUGAUGCCUUAGCCUAGGAAGAGGUGAGCUGCUAUGAGAUGCUUGAGAGUGAGUUAGUAGCAGUGAGGAACUUAUGAAAGAUCUAUGAGAGAGUGGUCUAUGCAUGAUAGAGUACUUGAGACCUGGGAUCCAAAGAGAAGGACUUGGAGUGUAUUCUGGUGCGGUGCGGACAGUAGUAUUGGGCCCGUACUACUGGAAGCACCGGAGCGGUGUGCAGCCCAAGUCAGAAUCUUUGGAAUGCCNAUUUAGUGUGCCGGUUAACCGCACACACUCCACUAACAUCUUCGCAAGGGCACAAAGUGUAAUUUCAUGGAAUUGCAUCAAUUCACUUUGCCUAAGUAACUAAGAUUGGGAAUUUGUAAAACAUUUAGUUACUUUUGUACUUUAUUAUACUUAUAAUGAAAGGUUUCGUCCUAUCCUACCCGUUCGGCUAACGACCCUCCACUAGUCAAGAGUGCGGUGGGUAAGAGUGGAUACCCAUUCAAUCGCCAUUUUAUAGGCAAUUUCCUUAAACACCCCUUAUAGACCAGCUUCGUGAAUGAGGCCUACUAACGGUAAGACUGACUUUUACUCAUACAUAUAUAUAAUGUUAGACUUUUAAUGUUAUAUAUAGUAUAGGGUGUAUUUUACACUUUUAAAAUACUAGGUGGUCAAAUUUAACAAUUAUACUUUUAAUUCAAUUAAAUUGUAAACCAAAACUUUUAUGGAUUUAUUAAACCUCUUUUAAUUAUACACCUUAAUUAAUUAAUAAAACCAUAAGGGUGUGAUUUGAACUUUUUCAAAACAAUACUAGGGUUUUAGAAUUUAACAUUCCUAAUUAAACUUUUAAUCAACUUUUAAAUUCCAAAACUUGAGGGCAAGUUUUGAAACAUUUCAAAACAUUAGGGUUUAGAAUUUAAAUAUACAUCAAAAUUAAACUAUUAAUCAAAAUUUAAAUUCCAAAACUUGAGGGCAAGUUUUGAAACCUUUUUCAAAACAUUAGGGUUUCAACUAUUUAAAUUUCAAAACAACAAAACUUUUGGGUUCAAAUUUAAACUAUAAAACCUAAAGGGGAAAAUAUGAAACUUUUCAUAACACAAGGAUCAAAUAACAAAUAAUCUAAAUUAACAAUUAAUCACAUAAUUAUCCAUAUUUGAUUUAUUUAAUGAUUUCUUGCAAAACAAUUUACCAAUUUAAUCAAAAUAAUUAAUCAAUUAUCACAUAAGGAAACAAAUAUUUUAUUAAUUGAUAAAUAUCUUCAAUUAGAUCAAGAAUAUAGUCAAAUAUAUCAUAAAAUCGGAUUUAUAUUGAUCUAAUAUGAUAAGACAAGUAUCCUCAAGCAAAAAUAGCAAGAAAUCCCGAUUUUCCCUCAUUCUGACCAGCCGACUCAUCGAGUCCAGCAUGGACUCGGCGAGUUCAGCAAGCAGAACCACAAAAAACGAAUUUUUUCAACAUACAAAGCAUCAAUACAAUAGAAACCAAUCUAGGCUCUGAUACCACUGAUGGGUUUUGGUCAUAAGAACAUCCUAUGUGCUCAUACAAACCCUAAUGCUUGGAUCUAGGUUUCUCUAUUGUACAUGCAAGUUAUCCAAGACUAUAAACCCUAAUUCUAGCAUACAAGUAAUCAUAUUAACAUGAGAAUAGGUUUAUAAUGUUACCUUGAUUGUUAUGUAGCAAUAACAAUCCCAAAUCUCCUUGUAUUGACUUUGGAAGGCUUAGAGUCACAAGUGUCACUCCUCUAAUGGUUCACAAACACCAUAAGCAAGAGGAUGAAGAGGAGAGAGGAUGGAGGCUGCCCAAAACGUGUUCUAACCCUAGAAAAGAAGUUCCCCACGUUUUUGAGCCUUAAGGGUUCUAUAUAUAGUGAGGCUAUUAGGGUUAUCUAACAAGGAAACCCUAAUUUGGUUGCUUAAGCCCUAAGCAACCCAUGGAGCCCUUUCUUAAAGCCUUGGAAGACUUCAUAUGGGCUUCCCCCAUAGAAUUCGUCCACCUUAUAAUAAAAGGCAAUCCAUGGCCCAAAUUGCAAUUAUCUUAUAAUUACAAUUCCAGUCCCUUAAGUUUAAUUAAUCUCUUUUAGUCACAAAACUAAUUACUAAUUAAUUCUUGACUAAUAUUAAUUAAACAAUAUGAUUUCUCCUUUAAUAUAUUAUUCUCAUAAUAUAUUAAUAAAUCAUAUUUAAUCUUUUCUCUCCAUAAUUCAUCCUAUCAAGUUGCUUUGGUGAAGGCAACCCAAAAGGACCAUGCACCAUCGGGUCAAGUACAUACCAAAAUAGUUAUGGACUUAGACACUAAUCCAACAAGUACCACCCGAGGUCAUUGGUUAGAUGAGUACGAACGAGUUGGAUGCCAGGAUUCGUGAGAUCCUGCAUGAUGAGGUUGCUGCUAUCUUCCGGGCUGAGUUUCCGGAGAUGUUCGGGUCGAUCAAGACCGACAUGGUUGAGUACUUUGAUGAGAGUUAUGCAGCUCUUGUGGAGGCGGCUGCUGCGGCAGCUACANAGCGACAGGGGGGAGGAACCGGUCGAGGUUUUCAGUAUCGGGACUUCGAUAAUACGAAGCCCCCUACUUUCGAUGGAGUUCAGGAUCCGAUCGUUGCUAUGAGAUGGUUGUCAGACGUGGAGGGUUGUUUCUUCACGUGUUCAUGUCCUGCGAAUCAGAGGGUAAAGUGUGCUCUGAACCUUUUGAAGGUCGAGGCAAAGGAUUGGUGGAGGCUAACUACAGGAUCUUAUUCGGAUGCGCAAGGGGCUGCGGUUACUUGGGAUCAGUUUCAGUAGAUGUUCAGCACUCGUUAUGUCCCACGGGUUGAGAGAGAGAGAGAGAGAGAGAGAGAGAGAGAGAGAGAGAGAGGUUGGCUCAGGAGUUCCUGGAGCUGAAGCAGGAUUCAGAGUCGGUGACGGAGAUCACUAGGAUGUUCACUAAGAGGGCGAUGUUUUACCCGGAGUUUGCUUUGGAGCAGGCUCAGAUGUCCCGAUAUCUGAGUAUGCUCAAGAGGGACAUCAGGUAGUUUGUAGUCCGGUGGCACGUGUCGUAAGUGUGGGAAAGAGGGGCAUUAGGCGAGGGAUUGUAGGCAGUCAGCCCCGGUUCAGGAUUUGAGGAUUUGUUAUCAUUGCCAUCAAGUUGGUCACUUGAGGGCCAACUAUCCACAACUUGUUGCUAGACCAGUGCAGGCUCCAGCACCGACCCCUUUGAGGAUUAUGGGUGGAGGUCAGGGUGGAGCGGGGCCUCCGAGGGCUCAGGGACGCGCUUUCCAGCUUACACCAUAGGAGAUCAGGUCAGGGCCGUAUGCAGCUGCGGGUAUGUUUCCAUUUUGUUAUCUUGUGGUUAUUAUGGAGUAUUGUAUAUCUGCUAGUCUCAUUUUCAUGAUUCAUGGUAUUGUAUUCGUUCGUCCUUUCGCUGGGUUUAUCGUAUGAUUGAGGGUUUUAAUAUUGGGAGUCUUAGUUGGGUAUCAUCCAUGGGGAUUGUUGGUGGGGAAUUAGGAUUUUUGGUCUGGAUGUCGGGUAUAGCAUUUGCAAUUUGAGGAGUGUUUAGUUGAGGGUCGAACUCCCUUAGAGUUCGAGACGUGCGAUGUCGGGAUGUGAUUUCGUGAAGGUUGCUUAUUUUAGAUGAAAUCAGUUCAUGGAUAAAGGGGAAUGUGUUGAGUAGGGUUGUUUAAGUGAUGUCGGGUGGGUCACCGGUGGUUGGAAGUCAGUGCUCUAAGUGGGGAGAAUUGGAAAAUUCUCAGGAGGAUCGACAAGUAUUUGAGGUUGAUUAGUUGUUUGGGAUUCAACAGUGUUUCAGUCAACCAAGAUUGUGGGUUGGUAUUAGGAAGUGGCAGUCAAAUGGGGUGGGGUGUAGACCAAGGUUAUCAGAAAAGGGGAUUGGUUGUGCGAGGCCUAGGAUUAGGUCGGGAUUUGAGUAUAUAGAAUGGAGUUAGAGUUCGGAACCCCCAGAGGGCUAGAACAGUAUGUACGGGAGGGAUUCCCAAGAAGGAUAGUUCGGGAUGAUGUAUGAUAGUUUAAGCGGUCCAGAUAGACUGAAGGUCGGUGGGCGUACUAGUCAGGUCGAAGGCUCGGAGAACGGUCCAGACAGGCUGAAGGCCCUUAAGGGCGGUCCAGACAUGCUGAAGGUUCUGAGAGUGGUCCAGAUUGGCUGAAGGAAAGGACUCAGAGCUUGUUGAACUCGACGAGUUGAGUCGUGGCAUGGGAUUUUCUGAGCAUAGGAACUCGACGAGUCAACGGGUUGACUCGGUGAGUAGGGUCAACCAGGAAGGUUGACUUUGAUUGAGGAAUUUGACUUGGACCAAGGGUUGAAUAGUUUGACUUCCAAGGGUAUUUUGGUAAUUUUGGGUAUUUUUGGAAUUGGUUCUUUGGUAGUGUUCUGUGGUGAAGAUCGUGUUGGUGGUCGGAGCAGCUUGUUCUUAUCUUUCCUGUCGACAAUUGCAGGUGAGUUAUCCUCACUAUAUCGACAGGGUCUACGACACCAAGGCUGGCCCUUUAUCGGAUGGAAACCUGGGUAUUGUUUUUUAUGUUGUUGAUAUGCUAGAUCUGCAUCCUGGUAUUUAGGAUGGUGUUAUGUUAGUGACCUGGUUAAGGUCGGUACCUGGUAUAUAGGAUAAUGUUAUGCUAGUGACCGGUUAGGUCGGAAUCCUGGUUAGGAUGCUGAUAUGCUAUGUGAUCUGUUGGACUGUUUGUCUGGUUAAGGAUUUGUUAUGUGAUUAAUUGGUUUAUGUGCACAUGGUUGUUUGACGGGGGUUGGGUUGAGGCGGGUCCUGCUUUGUGCUGNCCGGGUCCUGCUUUGUGCGGUAGGCCAACAUACCCAGGGCGGACCGGAUAUCUCGAAGGCCCAGCGAGUGGUUCGGAUAGGCUGAAGGCCCCAAGAGGGUCGACCAUAUGUGCCGAGGCUCGGAGAGUGGACCAGGCCGACUGAAGGCCCGGUGUGGGCGGACCAGUCAUACUGUAGACUCAGAGAGUGGACCAGGUGGAUUGAAGGCCCGGUACGGGCGGACCAAUCACAUUGUAGACUUGAUAUACAUGGAUAGACUCGGAGGGUGGACCAGGUGGACUGAAGGCCCGGUGCGGGCGGACCAGUCAUACAGUAGACCCGAUGUGCAUGGUUGUUCUAUUUGUGAUAAGUUAUGAGUAUGUUUAUGUGUGGUUGGUAGUUUGGGGGUAGCUCACUAAGCUUUCGGGCUUACAGUUCAGUGUAUUAUUUCAGGUACUUCAGGAGAUUGUGGCAAGGCGAAGGCAUGAUCGUACCGCUCCUCAUGUUUUAUGAUUUAUGUGAUAUGGUUCUGAGGAGUACUCUGAUGUUUAAACUAUUUUGAAAACAAAUGUAUGAACUUAAUGGUUUUUUGAGUGAAUUAAAAUGUUUUAAAUUGGCUCGAAUUUUAUGGGUGUUACAAGGGGGGGAUACAAGUUGAAUCAUGCUAGUUAGUACAUCAAUCACAUGUGAUUAAUAACUAGCAUACAAAGGGAUUUACUACCCUUUUAGUUGUUUUACCAAACAGAUUACUUCAAAUGGCUUUCUCAAAUGUUUCUACAUGUUUAAAACUCCUUAUCAAACUGUCUUACAUACUGUAUGUUUCCUUUCAAACUUUAUUACAAUUGUGUUUCAAAUAAAGGUUUCCUUAUACUUAAAACUAUGCUUAUCAAACAAACUGCUUUCAAAUCGUUUUACAAACUGACAUCAAGUCAUCAUUUAUUAGUUAUUAAACUUUUCAAAGGUUUUACAAAACUCUUUUAUACUUUUAUAUUGUCAAAUGCAUGCCUAUAUAUGUAUAGUUAUAGAAGUAAUGUUUAAAGGACUUAGGACGGCUAGCUCGCUUUAUUUCCUUUUCCUCGUUGGGAUAUGGCCUUAGAGCAUCGGUUAUUCAUUCGAAUGUCGUCUAAAUAUUAGUUAUAUAUCAUGUAUACAUAUAUAGACAUAAAAGUUCCAUUAGUCAGUUAAGUACCUUUGGGUAGCAAAUGCAUACUUCGGUUAUACACGUACAUUACAAGUAGCUAUAAUAGGUAUAGUUAGGAGAUACUACUUACUAUUCCAAGUACAAGGAAUCACACAAGAGUCAGUUACUUCAUGAGUCCAUACUAAUACAUUACAUACUAUAUGAAAUACGAACACAUUACAUACUAUAUGAAGAGAUACAAUUACAUACAAUUACAAGACAUACAAUUACAGGACAUACAAUUACAAGACAUACAAUUGCAAGAGAUACGAUUACAUAGAUACGUUUACAUAGAUACGAUUACAUAGAUACGUUUACAUAGAUACGAUUACAUAGAUUCUAUUACAUACGUUUUGGGACUUACCAUUCCACCCCCAAGGUUGUUUGCUACAGUAGGGAAAAUGUACAUCGACGGGUGUCUACGGUUGUACUGUUCGGCGAGUUACCGCGCCGUGAAUAUCCUAGUACAAAAGGAUACAAUUUUAGUUAUUAGACUAUUUUCCUUAUUACAUUUAUACUGUGACACGUACACAUAAACGAUGAGGUAGACAAUAGUUUUAUAAUAAUAAUAGUUAUACAAGGGAAAACCGUCACAUUUACAUCGAUGCAUACUUUCAAAUCAGUAGGGUCUUGGUAGAAGGCUACUUUCAAAUCAGUCGGGUCUUGGUAGAAGACUACUUUUUAUACUAGUAGGAAAUAUGGGAUUUUCUAGGGUUUUCAAACAUUUACAAUUACUCACAAACAUUUUCAUACUUAUACAAACUUUUCCUCAAAACAAUUACAAGUAUUUUAUUACAAGUUUCAUUUACAAAUCAAUGACAUUAAAAUACUUAUGAAUUCACCAGCUUUAUUGUUGAUACCCGCUUUCAAAAUAACUUGUAUUCUCAGGUCACCAAUAGACAAGUACGACGACCAGGUUUUGUGAAGACGGAGCAGUCAAGACUCGUAUUUUAUUUUGAUUAUUGAUUAUGUUGUUUUAUAUUAUGAAAGAACACACUUGUAAUUAAAAUUAUACUAUUAACGCAAUGGAUGAUGUUGUUGCUUGUUUACUACUUUGCAUUGUUGUGAUACUUUACAUGACGUCCUCCACCCCAUAACGUUUCCACCGUUCUUGGUUUUGGGGUGUGACACGUACUCCCUGGUACGCCCAACGUAUGUGGUGGCCAUGCAAAUCUUCGAAUGAGGGCUUAAUCAAUUCAGUCCAGACGUCUAAUAACCAGAUCCAAGUCCAAGAAGGUGCUCUUAACCAUAAAGUUUCCAACUUUAUGGUUAUACAUGCAUCAUUAAGACCCAAACCAACUUCUUAGUUGGUCUUAACCACUAAAGACCUCUGCACUUUGCAUGCAAGCACUAAAUGAGUCAAGAAAGCAUUUUUAUGACUUAACACAACUCAAAUCUUCUGAAAAGGCGCCUCCUUUGGUCUUGGAGUAGCAUUUACUCAUGAAGUCCAAGCAAAGGGACAAAACUCAUAAAAAUCCAUAUGGAUAAAUCUUUAAUAAAUACAAGUAAAGUUCAAGGCUUUAUACCUUUUGGAACUUCCCAAAGAGAUGGAGAUAUUAGAUCUACAAGCUUAAAUCCCACACCAAAGCUUCUGAAAGAAUCCUUUCUUCUUUUUUCAACACCAAGAACACACACACACACACUCAAUCUCAACACAUACAGGGGCUAGGGCUUGCAAAAUCGACUUAAGGAGGGUGGAGGCUGAAAGGGUGAGGGGAAUGAGGUUAUAAGGGGGAUUAUAGAUGGCUCAACCCUAAAAAUUAGGGUUUUUCAAUAUUUGAUGAGUACGCCCCGCGUAUGUUGACGUAUGCCCCACGUACUAAGGGCGUGCCCUAGUACACUAAGUGUAUACACGUACUCAUGGUGUACUCUCAUUCCUUCCAAAUUACGGUUUUGCCAUUAGGGCUUCUCAUGGCUACUUCCUUCUAUUAUAGGGACCAAAAUGACAUAAAUUAAAAUCAUAAGAAUGAAUUUAAAAGUAUCUGAAUACCGAGGUGUUACAACUCUCCCCCACUUGAACUAAACUUUGUCCUCGAAGUUUGUUGUAGUGAACAACUCGGGAUAAUGCUCCCGCAUCUCAGCCUCUGGCUCCCAGGUCCACUCGGAGCCCCUCCGGUGCUACCACCGUACCUUUACCAAAGGUACUUCCUUGCUAUGUAAAACCUUUACCUUCCUUUACAAGAUAGCUAGUGGCCUUUUAAACAUAGUUCCGGUACUCAUAAACCUGAAUAUCAUCCAAUGAAACCACUGUGUCAUUAUCCAAUACGCAGUUUCGUAGUUGUGAAACAUGGAAAGUGUUGUUAAUUUGACUGAUCUCCUCAGGAAGAUCCAAUAUGUAAGCAACCUUGGCAAUCCUGUAGAUCACUCGAAGUAGACCAAUAUACCGGGGACCCAAUUUUCCUCUAUUCCUUAAGCGUAUCAAAGCUUUCCAAAGCGAGACCUUUAGUAACACCAUAUCCUCAUCCUGAAACUCCAACUCGGAUCGGUGCCGGUCGGCAUAGCUCUUCCGAUAACUCUGAGCAGUCUACAAUCUUUGUCUUAUCUACCGAAUCAUCUUCGUGGUCUGAAUGACUGCUUCGGGUCCUCCCCAUAACCUUGUAACCAACCUCGCCCCAACAACCGGGGAACGACAUCUCUGCCCAUACAAGAGCUCAAAAGGCAGAGCACCAAUGCCGGAGUGAUAAUUGUUGUUAUAGGAGACCUCCGCAAUAGGUAGGUAAGAUUCCCAACUCCCACCAAAUCGAUAACACAUGUCCUCAACAUAUCCUCAAGGGUAUGUAUCAUCCGCUCACUCUAGCCGUCGUUUUGCAGAUGAUAAGCAGUGCUGAAGUGCAACCUCGUGCCCAAUUCCUUAUGGAACUUCUGCCAAAAACGGGAGGUGAACCGAACAUCACGGUCUGAAACAAUGGAGACCAGAACCCCAUGGCGAGCAACGAUCUCGCAAACAUACACAUCGGCCAACUUCCCGGCUUAAGAACUCUCCCGAACCGCCAGAAACAGGGCACUCUUGGUCAGUCGAUCCACGAUGACCCAUAUAGCAUCAAAACCCUUCGCCGUCUUCGAUAACUUGGUGAUGAAGUCCAUCGAAAUUUGCUCCCUUUUCCAUAUGGGAACCUCCAGAGGCUGCAGCUUGCCAUGCGACCUCUGAUGCUCAAUCUUGACCAUCUUGCAGUUCAUGCAUCUCUCCACAUACCAGGCUAUCUCCCUCUUCACACACGACCACCAAUAGCUCAAUCUCAGAUCCCGAUACAUCUUGGUGACCCCCAGAUGGAAAGAAAAAUGAGACUUAUGAGCAUCCUCCGAUACAAUCUUUCUGACCCCACCAGACAUUGGAACCCAGACCCGACCACAUCGGGUUAACAACCCUCGAUUAUCCGGAACAAAUUAGACAAUCUCACCCCUGAUCCUCUAUUUCUUCAAAUUCUCUUACCGAACACCCUUGUCUUGAGCCUCCAUAAUCAAUCCUAAAAGUGGGGAAUUCGUUGAUAUCCUCAUACAUGAUACCCCAACUGAAGACCCAACUGACUUGUGACUCAAGGCAUCCACCACCACAUUCGUUUUACCCGAAUGGUAAAGGAUCUCACAAUUAUAAUCCUUGACUGCGUCCAGCCACCUACGUUGUAUCAUGUUCAGGUUUGGCUAAUCCAUAAUAUGCCUCUGACUCUUAUGAUCCGUGUAGAUAGUACAACUGACCCCAUAAAGAUAGUGCCUCCAAAUCUUGAUGACAAACAUCACUGCCCCAACUCUAGGUCAUGCGUUUUAUAGGUUACAAAAAUCAUGUGGCGGAAAAUAACUUAACUCUUAAGCAAGGUGCUAAAUGGCGUGAGGCGUGGCGUGGUAGCAAGGCCAAGCCUGAAGUGUAACGAGCCAUGGCGAGCCACGACGUUUUUCAAAGCGUGAUGUAAGGCGAAGAUUUUUUACUAAUUUAUUAUUAUAUUACCAUAUAAAUAUAAAUUUAUAUUAAAUAUAACUACUUUUUAGAAGUGUUAUAUCAAUAACUAAUAACAAAAAGUUAACAAAAAACACAAUACAUGUAUCCCCGAUUAGAAAAGACAUAACAAAGAGCAAAAAAAACGUGUCUCAAACGAAAAAACACACGCCAUAAGAUGCCAUAACGUGCCAUGACACACCAUAUCACACAUUGCCACGCGUCACGCCUAAUAACAACGUUAUGGGGCUUUUCGUAACGGCGAAGUCACGCCUCACGCCAUGACAUGCCUUGGUGCGUGCCAUGACGCACCAUUUAGAACAUUGCUCUUAAGUUCAUAUGCAACCUAAUUGGAUCUAUGUUUUCACUAUUGAAUGCUACAAUACAUGAACAUCAAAUAACCCUAUAGGAACCUUAAUUUAAUCCAAAUUCAUAAGAAGGUUAGGAUUUACAUACAUUUUAUUAUUCUUGUAAAUAACCAAUGAAAUCCUUCUUCAAAAACAACUAACCUUGCAAUCAUUUGAAAUGCAUGGCCUUUUGCCUUUGCUUUUUUUUUCCUUGUUUAGCUUCCACCAUAUUUUCUCCCCUUCGAGGGACCUUCUUUUGAAAUGUGUUUAUAUUUGUUGCACUCAAAACACUUGCUCCUCUUAACACACUUGUUAGUAAUGUAUUUGUUUCCAUAUUUGAAACACAAUGAGGGCCCAUUUGAUAGUUGUUGUCUGGUAGGGAUGAGCAUAUGGACCGGGGAACCGGACAGAACCGGGACCGAAACCGGAAUUGAAACCCGAUGGAACCGGUCGGGCUAGGACCGAGAUCAUAUUCUUGUAGAUUUUUGGAACCGGGAAUCGAUAGGAACCGGACCCGGUAGAACCGGCAAAAACCGGAACCAUUUGUUGCUAUUUAUCAAGGACCGCUUCCAACAUUGAAGACACGUUAAGAACUGGUAGGAACCGGGAACCGGUGGAACCGGAAUCGGUAGAACCGGCGGUCCAGUUCGGUUCUUAAUUUCGUCCGACUUCAGUUUCCGAUCUGGGUCCGAUUUGGGCCGGCUCCAGCCGGGUCGGUUCCUUUGCUCAUCCCUAUUGUCUGGGAAAGUGUAUUCUGGAAAGAUACUGUCUGGGAAAUAAACCAUGUUGUUUGAUUGUACAUCUGAUUGAUUGUGCCGAAUGAUGAAAAAUGACUAUAUUACAAUGUUGUUUUGUAUCGUGAUUGAUGAAAUUGCUAAAUAAUUAUAAAAACAUAAAAAUUGUCACAAAAAAAUCAAAAUUGCACAAUAAUCAUUUAAAAAUCUAAAUACAAAUUGUCAUACGAAAUCAAAAUUACACAAAACAUAUGUUAAAAUCAAAAUUUCAGAUUGAAUCUGUAUAUAUGAAAUGGUCCUCCUAAAUCCUAUGCUAAAAAAUCAGAAGAAAAAAAAUAAGAUAAAACAUAUGAAGGUUCGAAUUUGGUACUCUCCAACCAAAAGAAACAAAUCAGAAAAAAAAAGAUGAGAUGGUUAGUUGUGGGGCGAAGCUAGUGGCUGCAACGACGCUCCGAUAGGAGGAGACUGCACGACGAUGAAGUAGGGAGCUUGGUGAGGAGGCGAUAAUGUCUGAUAAAGAGCACCAAAUAGAAGAAAGAAGAGGUGAGUUUUGGGGCGUAAUUGUUUUUUCCGCCCAUUCAGCCAGAAAGAUAUGGUUUUGAGGCUUUGUGGGAAAGACGCUGAUAUGUGCAUUUUAUGCACCUAUUUUGCAUGUUUAUUUCCAUCAUUUCAUAGCAUUUUACUUCAUAAUUCUUGUAUUUAGUUAAUUAUUUGGGCAAUUGCAUAUUUUUAUUAAGAAUGCCUGGUACUUCACUAUUUUUGAUUUAUUUUGUAGGCAUUAUGGAACAUGGAGCUUGGAGCAUGGAGCCUGGAGCAUGGAACUUGAAACAUGGAGGAUAAAGCUUUGGAUCAUGAAGAGAAGAUGGACACGCCAUGGCAUGGAAGAAAAUAUGAAGACUUAACCCGAGUUCUUGUUGCAUUAUCAUCAUAGCAAAGGACUACGUUUGAAACACGGUCGUGUCACACCGAGACAGGUCGUGUUUGUCCUUUCUCAUCUUAUACUCGAGCAACAUCACUCGUGGCGAAGCUAGACCGUAUAAGGACCCAACAUUAACGACUUUAGCAAAAAGCAUGGGCCAUGCUAAAAACACAUGGUCAAGACACAUGACCAUGCCAAAAACAUAUGGGCAAAGGCAUGGCCAUGCAAAGAAAAAAACGAAUGGUCUUGUGGCAAGCACGUGAGCAGUUAAUAAAACAAGGGAGGUCGCCACACCUUUCAGGGGGAUGAUUUUUGGAGCUUUAUCUGGCGAUUUUGGGAGAUUUUUGGGAAUUCUUGAAGGCUACUAAUCAAUGCAAACACUUUUAAUUUCAUUUUGUAAGCAUUAAGCAUUAAACAUUUCAUUGAUUUGUUCUUAGUCAUGUGUGGCUAAGAAACCUUAAUUUCUAGUUCUUGUUCAAAACAUGUUGAUUGCUUGACUUGAAGUAUAUGAUUUGAUGUUUGAUUUGUGACUCUGUUUUAGUGAUUAUGUAUUUGAUUAAACUAGAAUAAUUGAAUUUGAUUUGUGUUUGAUUGACCAUUUUCAUGAAUUGAAUUUUUGUGUAGUCAAUUAACUUUUAGGGUACCUAAUCGUUAUAUUAAGUUAAUAAAUGGUAACAAACAAUAAGUUUUCUUAUUGUAAAACAUAUAUCACAUGUUUUCACACUUCCGAGCGUAUGAGAAAAAAAUAAACAUUGUUGGGAAGCUUGUACAAAACUUAAUGCAAUUUUUCAAUACAAUAUAAGAACGUGUUUAGGUUGAAUUAGUAAAAUGAGGUCUAGUCAAAGAGCGUGUUUUGGUUAGAUAAUUUGGCAAGCGAGAGGUAUUAGAGCGUUUUAAUAUUUUUCAGUACCAACUUAGAAUAACAAUCACGAAUUACAUCAAUUCAUAAUCAAGUUUAACAACAACAUUGAGAACUAGAACUAGAACCAUUCAAUCAAAUUGUUUACAAGUUUAUUUCAUUUUCUGCAUGUUUUUACAGUAGACUGUUAUUUUAUUAUUUUACUCUUGCAAACAAUACCCCCUUUUAUGAUUAAAGUAUUUUGCGCAAAGAGCUAUAGACUUUUAUUCCAUGUCUCCGUGGUUCAACCCUGCUUGCCUUGAACUACUUUUUGGUGCAUUAAAGCAGUGUAUUUGGAGUCCGUUGUACCCUUAUUAUUUGUUGGGUUUGACAUGCUUAACAAACGCAUCUUACCAAGAAAGACUCAUUUCUUAAUGCAAAUCAAAUAGUCUUUCCGACCCCUUUAACUAAAAAAAUUUAUUUGGACCUGGAAAGAUGACCAUCAAACGGUGCUUGAGUAUCCUUUGUUCUUUGCUUGUCCAUCCUAACUUUUGCUCUUCCACCAUACUUAGUCUUCUUACGAGUGUCAUUACUCUUACUUUGAGCUUCACUUUCACUUUUCUCUUGCCACUUUGGUCCCCCUCUUUUUCCUUAUCGCUUUCGCCUAAGGUCUCCUUAAUCUAUCUUGCAUUUCUCAUUGCAAGAUCCAAAUUAGUCGAAAUACCAUAGUUUAACUUGAAAGCCCAUGUUAGUCCAUGCUUGUAGCAAUCAACUUUUGAUUAAUCAUUUGGUGCCAAUCUUCUUGCAAAACUCGAUUGGUUUUAACUAAAUACGUUUUCUAAAUUUUAUAUUUGAAAUUAAAAAUGAUAACUAAUCUUUUUUUUGAAAACUGAAAGCGAAAAACAAUCAUCAUAGAUUGUUGAAGAUGUAGUUGCUUCAAAAUUUAAUGAAUUAAUAAAAUAAUGUCAUUGAAACAGAGAAACAUUAGAUGUAUAUGUAAAAAAUAAAAUAUGAGAAAUGCUAAUAUAAGUGACACUGAGUUACCGAGAGAUGUUGAAAACUUAAAGUGUUAAAUAAUAAAAUCGAAUCAAAAGACUUAUAGUCUAGCGGUAUCAGAAGUUGGAAAAUAAAUUAUUUCCCUUUCAAAUCUUAUUUGAAAUACUGAUGUAGUUUAAGAUUAUAUAAGAAUCCGUUAAAAAUUGAAAAAGGACGUGGACAUCCCAUGAUUUUAUUGCAACGAAGUGUAGGCAACAUGAGUGGUUAUUCGCGACCAACCACAAAUAAAAGGAUGCAAAGCCGAAUGGAAGGGACUUGCACACAUCGACAUUUAUCCACAAACAUCUCAACAAUUUUGAAAAAAAUAGAGAAAUGCACGCAUGAGCAUUUUCGCAAACACCUCUAAGAUAUUUUGUCAAAAUUAAUGAAUUGAAAGGAUUACAAUUCUUUUUAUUUUUUACCCAUUUAGUCACUGUUUUUUUAAUACAUUGAAUUAAUAAUCCUAUAAAUUUGUUAAAAAUUACCAUUUUAACUGGUAUUUAUGAGUUUAUGCGGUUACCACUUGACGUAGCAUAUCAUGUCGUUGCUCACUUGGAUUUUUGGUUGACAUGACUUGUAAACAUUUAACCACUAAUUUUUAUUGUUCUUACACAUUGACCAGUAAUCUUACAAAUUAAUUCAAAAGAAUAUCAUUAUACCAAUAUGUAUUUAUAUGAGAAAAUACGAAAAUACAUAUUGGGAGUUACAUUAUAUAAAAAAGUGGUGAAAUGAUAUUUUUUGAAAAAUAGAAAUACGCCUUGGCUCGGAGGUAGAGGGGGAAACCAAACAAAUUUUAGAGGUAUACGAUUUUUGGCGCUGAGAUGAUUCUUAAAAGUCCACACCAGGUUUCUCAUACAUAAUUCUUGCGGAUUUGGUUUCUGAUGUAGGGCUGUCGGUCGUAUUGAAUUCGGUAGACAGAAAUCUGGCAUUCCCCUACCAAUCUCUCUGUAAGUUUCCCCCGUACCUUCAGAUUAAAUACAGUCAUUUCCAUGUUCUAAUGUUGAUCUACUACAUACCUACAUAACUACAUUUGAUGAAUCGAAAUAUUCGCACCAGAGCUUAUGUAUAUGUGGAGUUAAUAUCUUAAUUAUCACGACUGUGUGUUUCGUGUGUGAAUCCUCAAAUCCAAAUAGGAAAUGAUCCGUGAAAGUUUGAAAGGAUAUGAUUCGUUGAGUUUCAGUUGGUUUCUCUAAAUAAUCAGCACUAGUCACUGAAAUUUUUGCAAUAGCAGUGUUAGAUCAUCAUUCUACUGUCUGUCUUUUAUGUGCGUUAUUAUGUCUGUACUGAAUUCCUGGAAUCAAGUUUGAAAGGAAUGUAUGCUAUUCAGCACGUUUGAAAGGGCAUGCUGUACCCCUGACUGAAUUCUUCUACCUCCAUUGCACUAUUAGAGUCCGGUCUCGACCUUAAGUUUCAAAAAUACUUCGAAGUAGAUUUAAAUUAUUUGGCUAGGGAGAAAAAUGUAUGAGUAUAUUAAUCUAUACACAAUAGUAAGAUGGAAUACUUUUUGUGAAAGAGAGAUAGACUGUCAUCACAUAAGUUUUAAGGAAAAUUCAAUUUACAAAACACUAGUUUCACACAUUUCACUCAAGCACACAAUGUAUAUGCAAAUUAAUACUGCAUUCAUCUCACUCUUCUACAUCUACUUAAAAAAAGGGACACGUCUAACAACUGCUUCCUCCUAGGCUUGAUCCUUAAUCGAAAUCAAAGGCUUUUUCCCCACAUUCAUCAAGCAUGUAAUGCGCUGAGUUCCAUUUGAACCAUUUAUCACGGUUGCUUUUUUUCUUUCUUGGAAAAUUUACAUACUGAUAUGUCUUGCUAAGUACUCACUUGAUCUUUCUCUUUUGGUGAUGGUGGUUUUGAAGGAGAAGACUUACCAGUUAUUGCUUUCUUCACCUUGGCGAUUGAAUGCUUAACUUUUGACCCAACACCUGACAAUAUAUUAUGAGAUUUCUUAGGAGUCUUGACUUCAAUGUCUUUCGAUGCUUCUACCAUAACCGGAGCAUCAAUCAUUUGGUUAUCGUCUUCAUCUUCUUCUUCAUUCUCUUCAUCUGUUUUUGUUCCCUUCUCACCAGUUUCUUCUUUGUCUACUUGCUGAUCUUUUGUCAGAGCUGUCUCUCUUUCUUCAAUCAAGCUUUCAGCCACGGCUGUUUGAGACUUUUCUUUUUCAUUUCCCAUUUUCUUCUCUUCUCCGAAAGCUUCACUGCUGCAUUGUGAUUCGGUUCCUGAAGAUUUAGUGGCUUUUAAAUCAUCUGCCUCAGCAAUCAAUGGCUUUGUAGUUGGCUCCCCUAGCUCAUUUGCCACAUCUUUGUUUCCAGUUAAGAGCUUUCUCUCUAUACUCUCAUCUAGAUGUGGUUUAUUUGAGGACUGGUUAUCCACAGUGCAAGCUGAACCUUCAUAUGUUUGUAUUUCCGGCUGAAUUUUACUUAUUUUUAUAAGGUCAUCUGUUACAUGUUUCUGUGAAAUCUCCAAGUCCUCUGUAGUUGUAGUACCAGGAGUCACAGGUGCAUCAAGUUCCAAGGGUUCCUGCAAAAUGAUUACCAGUUUAUUAGUUGUGGGAAUGGAAAUAUGGGAACAAAGGUUAACUGGGUUACAAAAGUGAAUAAGGUGCAUGAGAAGAUUUUUAAUUCUAUCAAACCUUUUCAGUUGGAAUUUCUCUCUCUAUGUUUUCAUCUACUUCUUUUUUCUGCACACUUUGAAUAUCAGAGCAUUCUGCAUUGUUCACGGCGUCAACAGUUAUUGCUUCUGGUGUAUAAUCAAAGUCCUUCUCACGCUUUUGAACAUCUAUUACAGCAACUUCAGGUGUAAUUUUCUCAAUGGUAGUAGUAGUUUCUGGGUUAUUUUUCUCUAGAAGCAUCAUGGGGGAAGCUUCCUGAACAUUUCCUGGUAAACUUUCAGAAACUUUGCUACCCUCAGGGACUAUUUCAGCAACAUCGGAUGCAAUUUCAAAAACUUCAGUUGGCUUUUCUUCAGACUUGUGUAUAUCAUCAUAGCCUCUGCUGAUGCUCUCCUCAGAUCUAACUUCUAUACCUUGCUCUGUAGGACUUGAUAUCGAAUCAGAAGUGGUUUUCGUGAGGUCAUCUGCUUGUGAUUCGCUUAGUGUUUCUUUCUCCUUGUUUGCAUCUUCUUCCAAUGUCUUUUCUUCUGUCACCAAAAUCUUUGGAAACUCUUCCUCUAUGAAUUCUAGAUUCCGAUCCUUGUUGCUUAUGUUGCUGUGGUCAACCUGUGUCUUAUCUGUUUCUAGUACUAGUUCUUUUGUUUGGUCUUCAACAGUUGAAGAUGCAAGUUCUUCAAGUGGUACAAUGGACACAAGUUUCUGUUACAUGAAAAAAACCACAAAAAUCUACAUGAUCAGUAGGUGAAGGUUAAAUUUCCAUUUGCAUGUAAUAAUCUAAAUGCCAUUUAUAAUGAUAAAACUACAUGAAAUCAGGCUAUGUUAACAAUGUCUUAUUAGCAUAGGAUCAGUAUAGGGAGGCUUUAACCAUGGGAUAAUCACAGUAAUAUUUUGUCAAGGGCUCAUGGCCUAGUUUCUUUCAAGCUGGUUGUCAUCCAGUGGUCUCAAAUCGAAUUAAUAGAAGACAAAGUUAGGGUUAUUUUUUUAUCAUCAGGGCUUAAUCUUUUUACCUUCUCACUUAAUGACCCAUCCACAGGUGUUUGACACGUGUCAUUUGUUACUUCUGGAUGUUCUUCCUCCAUCUCCAUCUUGAGAGUUGUUUCAGGAGUUUGUAUUUCAGAUAUAAGUUCAUCAUCCUUUUCUUUCUUCUCAAACUCAAGAUCAGGGGCUUCUGCAGACUGUAUAUUUUCUAGUUCUGUUGGGCUUUCUGCUUUCACUUCUUUGACUUCAUUGUUUCCAGCUGGUAUCGGCUUUGAAUAUUCUAUCUGUUAAAAGAUAUUUAUCAUUUUAAUAUCUGAAUAAAUGAAAUCAAUCUGAUAUUUUAGUAUCCUUCUUGCUGUCUUUACUGACCUCAUCAUCUAGGUCCUUUUGAUUUGAUGUCGAUGUCUUAUCGAGUUCUGGAGGACAUAUAUCUUCCUCAGAAACAUGUUCAUUGACUUCAUUUUUUUCCUCUUCUUUUUCAGUCUCCACUACAACCUGCUCAAUACAUACAAUGUUGUUAUCAUGUAAGCAGAAGUUUUGGAGUACCUGGUGAACAGUGAACAAAAAAAAACAUAAUCGAGUGCUACUUUUGACUUACCUCGUCAGUCAAGAUGAUAUUCUUGAUUGUCUCACUUUGAUUUUCUGUGUUGUCAAUCUGAUUUUCAGGUGCAAGUGUAACAUCCUCUUUUAUAUCUCUUUUCUCAUCUGCUAAAUCCUUUUCACUCGUAUACUUAAUGAUGUUUUCAGAGGUGAUGUCUGAUUUUUUUGGUUCAGGAUUUGUUUCCUUAACCUCGUCUUCUUCUAUCACUGAUUCAGAUGUGGGUUUGAUUACUUCAAGAUCCUAUUUUGCAACAAAAGAAGAAAAAAUAAAAUUUAGAUAGUAUGAUUGAUAAGGCCUCUUUCUUAGGAUAACAGCUGCAUAAAAGGAAUGGUGAUAGUUCUUUAUUUGUGCACUAACCUCUUUAAUGAAAACUGCAUCACGAGAUGAUAUUGAAAGGUGUUCUGCAACUUGCUUGCUUUCUGUUGUCUGUUUUCAUUAGCGUAAAGUAUAUCAAGUUCAUUAUAAGAGAAAUGCAAGAAAAAGAAUGUGUUAUUCAAAACUCUUGAAAAUCUUCUAACCUCUUCACUUGAAAUUUCAUCAGUUCUAACCUCAGAGACCCCAACAGGUAUUGGAUCUGAAUAUGGUAUCUACGUGAAAAAAUGUCAUGUUAAAACGUAUACUCAUACAGAUAUGAACAUAAUACAAAUCUCAUCUUUCUGUUAAUAGACUCACCACAUGUGCCGUUUCCUUUUGAUCUUCUGAAGAUUUCUCCUGAAGUUCUGUGGAAUGACUAUCUUCCUCAACAAUCUGUUCUUUGAGGUCAUCUGUUUCCUUUUCCUUUGGUAUAUUUAAAGGCACCUGUUCAAUUUAUAUAACAUUCCUGUAAGCAGAUCCCUUUGAUGACUUGAUAGAUAAGAAAGUCUGGUGGUAUUAUUUCUUGCUCACCUCUUCAUUCAAGAUAACAUCCUUUGACAUCUCACUGCAGUCUUCUGUGCUAUUAAGCUGAUUUUCUUGUGUAACAUCCUCUUUCAUAUCUUCUUUUUCAUACAAUGAAUCAUCUGCACCAAUUUUUGUUGUCUGUUCUGUUUUCUGCAUCCAUUAGUGUCAAAAGUAUGUUAAGAAAACACAAAAAGAAAUGCAAUAAAAGGAUGUGUGAACUGUAAAGACAUUGUAAUUCUAUCUGACCUCAUCACUUGAAAUUUCUUUUGUUACAGUUUGUUUCUCUUCAUCCACAUAUGUUGUUGUUGCUGAUGUAAGACGAUCUUCUUUCGGGUUUGAAUCUUCUGACUUGGGCACCAAUUCAGGGAUUUUUACAUCAUAGACAGAUUCAAGAUCUAGUGGCAAAGUUUUAAGGGUUUCUUCUGUUGUAGUUACUAAUGAACUUGAGGGUACAAUAUCUUCUUGAGGUUUGACUUCUGUUGUUUCAUUUGAAUCCUUAGAUUUUUCUUUUGAUGCUUCAUCCAAACCAUCAUUCUGUUGCUCAACAGGUUCAAUCUCCCUUGUUCUUGCAUCUUGAAAGCACUUUUCUUCUUUAGUUGUAGUGUCAUUUGGAUUCUCUAUGCUGUCAUGGGAUAAAUGUUCAUCCUUUUUUGUGAUUUCCUCUUCUUCUAUAGUUUCACUUAUGGUUUCAGUUGGACCUGCCUGUAUCUCCUCAACAAUUUGUCCUUUAGGUUGACCAAGCUCUGACGACACCUGUUUAAAAUAUAUUUUUUUAAAUAAUUUAAUAUAACAAACAACUGAAUAUCGAAGAAGGUUGAGCUAUAUCUGUUAUAAAAUGAAGUCUUUUGAAUAUUCUAUCUGUUAAAAGAUGAUAUCCAACUUUGAAUGAACAAAUGAAAACAUUUUGAUGUUAUAGUUCCCUUUUUCACAUGUCCACUGACCUCAUCGGUUAAUUCCUUUUCAUCUGAUGUUGUUGUCUUUUCAUCUGCUAAGUCCUUUUCAGGCAAGAUGACAUUCUCCAUGAUGUUUUCAGGGGUGAUGUCUGAUUGUUCUGGUUGAGGCUUUGUUUCCUUAACCUGGUAUUCUUCUAUCACCAUCUUAGACAUGGGUUUGAGUUCUCCAUGUAGUUCUAGAUUCUAUUUUGCAAAAAAUAAACCAAAAUAAUGCAGAUAGUUUUACUUUCCAUAUGACAACAUAAGUGUUCAUGAUAGAGUGAUAUGUCAAUAUGCAUUAACAUCAAAAAUCUUGAAAAUUUUCUAACCUCUGUACUUGAAGUUUCAUUAGCUAUAACUUCAUGUUCUUUCUCUCCAUUGUUUUCAUCUGUAUACUCGGUUGUUGCUGAGACAAUGCUCUCUUCUUUCACUUUUGAGUCUUCUGAAUCAACAACUACUUCAGGGGUUUGUACAUCACAAACAGAUUCAAGAGCCUGUUUGGGUGACUCAUCGAUUUCUAAUGGAUCUGAAUACGAUAUCUGCUUAAAAAAAUUCAUGUUAACACAUAUUCAUACAGCAUGAACAAAAUACUAUUCUCAUCUUUCUGUUAAUAGACUAACCACAGGUGCCUUUUGAUCUUCUGUUGAUUUCUCUUGUAGCUCUGUGGAAUUACUAUAUUCCUCAACAAUCUGUUCUUUGAGGUCAUCUGUUCCCUUUUCCUUUUGUGUCUCUAAAGGUACCUGUUCAAUCUAUAUAACAUUCAUGUAAGCAGACCCCUUUGAUGACUUGAUAGAUAAGCAAGUGGUUAUAUAUUUAUCGUAUUCACCUCUUUAGUCAAGAUGACAUCCUUUGAUAUCUCACUGCAGUCUUCGGUGCUAUUAAGCUGAUUUUCUUGUGUAACAUCCUCUUUUUCAUACAGUGAUUUGUUUUCACCAAUUUCUGUUGUCUGCAACCAUUAGUGUCAAAGUAUGUCAAUAAAGCACAGAAGAAAUGCAAGAAAAAGAUGAUGUGAACUGUAGGGACGUUUUUCUGUCUGACCUCUGCACUUGAAACUUCUUUUGUUUCUGUUUCUUUUUCUUCAUCCACAUGCGUUGCUGUUGUAAGACACUCUUCUUUCAUGUUUGAAUCUUCUGACUCGAGCCCCACUCCAGGGAUUUGUACCUCAGAAACAGUUUCAAGAUCUUCAAGGAAGAUCUCUUUAGUCAUUUCUGUCUGCUCCUGCCUUUCAUCAGUAUUGACCACUGUGGUAGCAUGUUGUCCGAUUGUUGUUUCUUUUAUAUCCUCACUGGAUGCAUUUUGUGAGCUUGUAACAUCAUCUUCACCAUCUUGGACUUCUUCUGACAUUUUGAGGUCUUUUUCUUUUGCUUGAUUUUCCUCUUUGCUCACUGUUUCAUCCUCAUUCAAUUCAGAUUCAACCUUCUCUAAUCCUGUCACUUCAUGGACUUCCUUAACCAGGGAGCUUUCAGACUUUUCUGUUUGACCAUCAUCAUUGACUACAUCCUCCUUUUUUUCUAUGGUUUCGACACUAGAUUUGAUUUCUUCAGUGUCUUCCUCUAUACUUUCUCUAGUUUCAAAAAACUCAGGUUCUUUACCUUCUUCUUGGUAGUUCUUUUUUUGCAAGUCUUCUUCUAAUGCUGCAACCUGUGAGGUUGUUACAUUGUCCUCACCUUGACCUUCUGCCGACAUGUUGACCUGAUCCUUUUCUUGAUCUUCAUCUUUAAAAGUUUCUAUUGCUUUUAUCCCUUCUUCAGAUUCAACCUUUUCCGAACUAGUCUCAUCACAUACCUCUUUGACAGAGUGGAUAGGAGGCGUUUCCAUUUGAUCAUCAUCAUGCUCAAUAGGCUCUUUGUUUUUUUCUUCAGUUUCUGUUUUCUCUUCUUGAGAUUCCACUUGUGCUGAUGUGAAAACAUCAGUUGUGAUGGCAUGUGGCAACUCUCCUUGCUCCACUUUUUCUUUUGUUUUAACAUUUGUGCUUAUAAGUUCAUUAUCUUCCUCCAUGCUUUCUCUAGUUUCAAAAAAUACAUCCUCAGAGGCUGCAACUGUAUCCUGUGAGCAUAUAACUUCAUCCUCACUUUGGUCUUUUUCUGGUAUGUUGAGCUCUUGUUCCUUUUCUUGAUAUUCAUCUUUGCUUAAAAUUUCUAUUUCUUUCUCAUUCUGAUACAUAUCGGAAUUUAUCCCUUCUUCAGAUACAGUCUUCUUUAAGUCAGUCUCUUCACAUACUUCCUGUUGCUCCUUUUCAUCUGUUUCAACACUUGGUUUGAUUUCUUCAGUAUACAUCUCUUGCUCAAAAAUUAUGCUGGCACUUUCUUCUAUUUUAUCUUUUGCUCCAUUAUCAUCAUACUGCUCGCUUGCCUAUAUGAAGAGUGUAUUUUGAGUACAUGGGCAGAAUGGACAAUACAGAACUUGGUAAGUCUAAUGUAUAGUCAAAGUUUGUAAAACAAUCUGUGUAACAGCUUAGUUUAUUGGUCUCUUUUUCAAAAGAAAAUUAUGAGCAGCAUUUGCUCUAAAGUCUAAACUACUUUAUAAAACGGGUUUCCCUUAGAAUUUAUCAUUUUCAUAAAUAUCCACAACUUGCUUUUCUUCUAGUUCUAUACCCCUCCCCAAUUGUACUGUUCAAUUGAAUAAAUCAAGUUCUGUAUUUGAAGUUACACUUAAUAUGCUCUAUAAAAUAUGUAUUUUAUCUUGUUUAGGGCCCUUAAAAUGGUCUAAUAUAUAUAUAUNNNNNNNNNNNNNNNNNNNUAUAUAUAUAUAUAUAUAUAUAUAUAUUUGUAAGAGAUACUUGAACUACCGAGUUGAACAACUUAUGCAUUUGUUACUUUCUCAAACACAUGAGAUGAGAAAUUUUGUAGCAGACAACAUAAUGUCUUGAUAAUUUUAGCAUUGCAAGUUUAGUUGGAAUGAUGUACAAGUAAAACCUUUUGAAAUAAUUAGAGAUUACUUAAGAUGAACAUAAAUUACCUCUUGAGCAUGAAUUGAUUUGUCUUCUAUUUCUUCCUUGAGGAUCUCUUUGGUCAAUGCACUAUCAUCUUUGCUCUCCUCAAAAUCAACCACUGUGGUAACAUGUUGACCAAUUGUUGACUCUUGUAUAUCCUCACACGUUGCAUCUUCUGAACUUGUAACGGCAUCCCCACCACCUUGGACUUCUUCUGGCAUUUUGAGUUCAUGUUCCUUUUCUUGAUUUUCCUCUUUGCUCACUAUCUCAUUCUCAUUCAAUUCAGGUUUAGCCUUCUCUGAUCCUGUCACUUCACACACCUCCUUAACCAAUGGGCUUUCAAACUCAUCAUUGACUAUAGCAUCUUCCUCAAUCUUUUCUUCAUUUUCCAUAGUUUCUUUUUUAGGUUCUAUUUCUGUUGAGCUGCAAACAUCAGUAGUAAUGACAUGCAGCAACCCUUGUUGCUCCAUAUUUUCUUUUGUUUCUAUACUAGAUUCGAUUUCUUCAAUGUUUUCCUCUACACUUUCUCUCGUUUCAACAACUUCAGGUUCUUUACCUUCUUCUUGGUAGUUCUUUUCUUGCAAGUCUUCUUCUAAGGCUGCAACCUGUGAGCUUGUUACAUUAUCCUCGCCUUGACCUUCUGUUGACAUGUCAACCUGAUCCUUUUCUUGUUCUUCAUCCUUGAAAGUUUCAAUAGCUUUUACCUCUUGUUCAGAUUCAACCUUUUUUGAGCUAGUCUCAUCGCAUACCUCCUUGGUAGUCUCUUCAUAAACCUCCUUCAUAGACUCUUCAUUCUUUUGUUCAGUUUCCGUGGUCUCUUCUUGAGAUUCUGUUUGUGCUGAUAUGCAAGCUACCUCUUGAGCAUCACUUGGUUUUUCCUCUGUUUCUUCCAUAAGGAUCUCUUUAGGCAUUAAACCUAUCGCUUGUCCCUCCUCUAAAUAGGCCACUGUAGUGUCCUGUUGACCAACUGUUGUUUCUUUUAUAUCCUCACACGUUGCAUCUUUUGAACUUGUAGUUGUAACAUCAUCCCCUAAACCUUUUCCUGACACAUAAACCUCUUGUUCCUUUUCUUCAUCUUCAACUUUGUUCACUAUUUCUUUCUCAUUUGUUGUUUCUUUUACCUCUUCGCUAUAUUCAACUUUCUCUGAACUGGUCUCUUCACAUACUUCAUUGACUGGGGAGCUGUCAACAUUUUCCUUUUGACCAUUAUCACUCUGAAUAGGCUCGUCACUUUUUACUUCAUGUUCUUCACUUUCUACCUGAGAUUUUGUUUGUGAUGUGAUGCAAUCAUCAUGCAACAGUUCUUGCUGCUUGGUUUCAACACUUGGUUUGAUUUCUUUAGUAUCUUCCUCUUGCUCAAUCUCUGAACAAGAUUGAACAGUUUUGUUGUCGCUUUCAUCAGGCUUUUGUUCUGUUUUGUCCUAUUAGAGAAAAAGUAUUCAGUUAGAUAUGAUGAUUUAUAUAAAUAGGCUCAAAGUUUUUAAAAACAAUCUCUGUGGUAGGUUUUUUUCAUUGUUCUUUUUUAAGAUAAUUGUGAGUGACAGUUGUUCUUUAUAACAUUAACAUGAUUCUACAUUGCUUAGUAAUAAAACAUUAAAAGUUUUAGUAGGAAAGAUAUACAAGUAAAACCUUUUGGAUUGUUCAGAGUUAACAUGGGAUGAACACGAAUUACCUCUUGAGCAUCAAUUGCACUCUGAUUCGGCUCCUCGAACUCGAUAUCAGCCACUGGGGUAGCCUUUUGACCAAUUAUUGUUUCUUUUAUAUCCUCGCUGGAUGCAUUCUGUGAGCUUGUAACAUCAUCUCCACCACCUUGGACUUCUUUUGACAUUUUAAUCUCUUGUUCCUUUUCUUGAUUUUCCUCAUUGUUCACUAUUUCAUUCUCAUUCAAUUCAGAUUCAGCCUUCUCUGAGCUUGUUGCUUCACAUACUUCCUUCACCAAGGGGCUUUCAGACUUAUCUGUUUGACCAUCAUCAUUCACCAAUGCCUCUUCAUCAAUCUUUAUAUCAUCUUUUGUUUCGGCACUAGAUUUGAUUUCUUCAGUAUCUUCCUCUAAAUACUCUCUAGGUUUGACAAAUUCGGGUUCCUUACCUUCAUCAUCAUAUUUUGUUUCUGGUAAGUCCUGUAUAGAAGUUGCAUCUUGUGAGAAAGUGACAUCAUCUUUUCCUUGGUCUUCUUCUGAAAUGAUGGACUCUUGUUCUUGUUCUUGUUCUUUUUCUUUUUCUUGAUGUUCAUCUUUGUCAGAAGGUUCUACCCCUUCAAAUUUACCCUUCUCUAAGUGAGUUUCUUCACAUACUUCAGUCACAUCUUCAUCGUCUGUAAUCUUUACCUGCUCCUUUUCAUCUGUUUCCACACUUGGCUUGAUUUCUUCAGCAUUUUCAUUUUUGUUGACACUUUCCUCGGGCUUUUGUUCUAUUUUUUCAUUUGCUCCACUCUCAUCCUGCUCACUUGCCUAUAUGAACACAAGUAUUUUGAGUACAUGUGGAGAAUAAAAGUAACACAUCAUGAUAAGUCUAAUGCAUAGUCAAACUUUUAAAACAAUCUUUGUGGCAGCUUCAAAAAAAUUUGUGAGCCAAAUUUGCUAUAAACUACUUUAUAGAAUGGUUUUCUCUAAACAUUUAUCGUUUUAUGAACUCUAACUCUUCUCAACAAAUGAAACUAAACGUUUGGAUGAGACAAGCAUUUGACAUUAAAAUUAUGUAUGAAAAUCAUAAUAUUGUCUUAUACUUUUAUAAAUUAAACAUAAAACUAGUAAGAAUUAGCCUUAACAUUUAACAAUACAUUAGUAUAAUAUGUGAUUUUUAGUUUCUCUUACACAUGAGAUAAGAAAAUAUGUAGCAGACAACAACAUUUCCAUAUGUCAUAAUGAUUAUAGCAUUUCAAAUUCUAGUAAGACUGAUCUACAAUUAAAACUGUAAAACCUUUUAGGAAUAGUUAGGUUUACUUAGAAUGAACAUGAAUUACCUCUUGCACAUCAGUUGAUUUGUCCUCUGCUUCUUCCUUAAGGAUCUCCUUAGGCGUUGAGUUUAGAGCCUGUUCCUCCUCUAAAUAGGCCACUGUAGUAACAUGCUCACCAGUUGUUGUUUCUUUUAUAUCCUCAAAUGUUGCAUCUUGUGAACUUGUAACAUCAUCCCCUAAACCUUUUCCUGACACAUAAACCUCUUGUUCCUUUUCUUCAUCUUCAACUUUGCUUGCUAUUUCGUUUUCAUUCAGAUCGAUAUUAACACUGUCAGAAAGUUUUAACCCUUCUUCAGAUUCAACCUUCUCUGAGACAGUCUCUUCACAUACUUCCUUCACCAUGGUCUCUGUAUUAGAACUAUCAGAGUAGUUCACCUCUUCUUUAUAUUCAAUUUUCUCUGAACUAGCCUCUUCACAUACUUCAACACUUGGUUUGGUUUCUUCAGUAUCUUUCUCUUGCUCAAUUUCUGAACCAGACUGUACAAUUUUGUUGUCACUUUCUGCAGACUUUUGUUCUUUUUUGUCCUAUUAGAGAAGAAAUAUUCAGUAUAUUAUACGACUGAAAGAAAAGAAAUGAUGAUUUAUAUAAACAGGCUUAAAGUUUUUAAAAACAAUCUUAAGGGUAGGUUUUUUUCAUUGUUAUUCUAUAAAAUAAAUGUGAGCGACAGUUGUACUUUAUAACAUGAAUCUACAUUGGUUAGUGAUAAAAAAAAGCAUUUCAAGUUUUAGUUGGAAUGAUGUACAAGUAAAACCUUUUGGAUUGUUUAGGAGUUAACAUGGUAUGAACAUGAUUUACCUCUUGAACAUCAAUCACACUCUGAUUCUGCUCCUCGAACUCGAUAUUAGCCACUGGGGUAGCCUGUUGACCAAUUGUUGUUUCUUUUAUAUCCUCACUGGAUGCAUUCUGUGAUCUUGUAACAUCAUCUCCACCACCUUGGACUUCUUCUGACAUUUUAAGCUCUUGUUCCUUUUCUUGAUUUUCCUCUUUGCUCACUAUUUCGUUCUCAUUCAAUUCAGAUUCAGCCUUCUCUGAGGUUGUCGCAUCAUAUACUUCCUUCACCAAGGGGCUUUCAGACUUCUUUGUUUGAUCAUCAUCAUUCACUAAUGCCUCUUCAUCAAUCUUUAUAUCAUCUUUUGUAUCAGCACUAGAUUUGAUUUCUUGAGUAUCUUCGUCUAUAUUCUCUCUAGGUUUGACAAAUACAGGUAAGUUCUCUAUAGUGGUUGCAUCUUGUGAGCAUGUGAUAUCAUCUUUUCCUUGGUCUUCUUCUGAAAUGAUGGACUCUUGUUCUUUUUCUUUUUCUUGAUCUUUAUCAUUGUCAGAAGGUUCUACCCCUUCAAAAUUUCCCUUCUCUAAUUGAGUUUCUGCACAUACUUCAAUCACAUCUUCUUCAUAGUCUGUAAUCUUCACUUGUUCCUUUUCAUCUAUUUCCACACUUGGCUUGAUUUCUUCGGUAUCUUCAAUUUUGUUGACAAUUUCCUCGGGAUUUUGUUCUAUUUUUUCGUUUGCUCCACUCUCAUACUGCUCGCUUGCCUACAUGAAAACAAGUAUUUUGAGUACAUGUGGAGAAUGAAAGUAAUACAUCAUGAUAAGUCUAAUGCAUAGUCAAAGUUUUAAAACAAUCUUUGUGGCAGCUUCCAAAAAAAUUGUGAGCCAAAGUUGCUAUAAACUACUUUAUAGAAUGGUUUUCUCUAAACAUUUAUCAUCUUAUGAACACUAACUCUUCUCAACAAAUGAAAUUAAACCUUUGGAGGAGACAAGCAUUUGACAUUAAAACUAUGUAUGAAAAUCAUAAUAUUGUCUUAUAUUUUUAUAGAUUAAACAUAGAACUAAUAAGAACUCUAACUCUUCACUUACUUGUUGCUCCGUUUCAACACUAGGUUUGAUAUCUUCAGUAUCUUCCCCUUGCUCUGUUUCUGAAGAAGACUUUGCACUUUUGUUGACAAUUUCCUCAGGCUUUUGCUCACUUUUUUCCUCUGCCUCAUUAUCGCACUUCUUGCUUGCCUAUUCGAGAAAAUAUUUUCAGCAUAUAGGAAGAAUGAAAGAAAAGAAAUGAUGUUUUAUACGAAUAGGCUCAAAGUUAUUGAAAACAAUAUGUGUGAUGUUUCAUUGUUCUUUCUUUAAACAGAUUGUUAAUGGAAGUUCUUUAUAACGUGGUUUUUUCUAGGCAUUUAUCAUUUUCUUGAACAUCAUGUUAGAUUGGUAUGGCAUGCGCUUCGGGCUCAACAAUGGUGGAGGAGAAGAAUAUUUGACAUUAAAACAGUGCAUGAGGUUCAUAAGAUGAGUCUUAUGGUUUAAGCAUAGAGUAAGUAAGAAAAAGCAGCAACAUUUCCAUAUUUGUACAUACUCUACAACUUAAUAUAAACUAUGUCCAGAAUUUGUGUAUGUUAUCUUGUUUAGGGCCUUUAUAGGGCAUAAUGCAUGCUUCUUAGUUUUUCUUUUUCAUAAACAUGAGAUAAGAAAUUAUGUAGCAGACAACAUUUCCAUAUUUCUUAAGAAUAUGGCAUUUCAAAUUUUAGUUGGAUUGAUUUACAAGUAAAACCUUUUUGGAAUAGUUAGGGUUUCCUUAUAACGACUAAUGAACAUGAGUUACCUCUUGAGCAUCACUUGGUUUGUCCUCUGCUUCUUCCUUGAGGAUCUCUUCAGGCAUUGGACUUAGACUCUGUGCCUCCUCUAAAUGAGCCACUUCGGUACUAGCAUGUUCAUCAAUUGUUGUUUCUUUUAUAUCCUCACAUGUUGCAUCUUGUGGACUUGUAACAUCAUCCCCAUCACCUUGUCCUUUUCCUGAAACAUAAACCUCUUGUUCCUUUUCUUCAUAUGCUAUUUCAUUCUCAUUCAAAGCGAUAUUGGAACUGUCAUAAAAUUGUAACCCUUCUUCAGAUUCAACCUUCUCUAAGAUAGUCUCUUCACUAGUUCUGAUUUCUUCAGUAUCUUCCCCUAUACUUUCUUUAGUUUUAACAACUUCAGGUUCGUUAACUUCACUGUGGUGUUCUCUUUCUUUUAAGCCUCCUUCAUAAGUUGCAUCAUGUGAGCUUGUAACAGUAUCAUCACCUUGGUCUUUUUCUAAUGUGUUGCCCUCUUGUUUCCUUUCUAGAUCUUCAUCUUUGCUUAAAAUCGGUAGUGUUUUCUCGUUGAUCUCUACAUUAGAACUAUCAGAAUGUUUGACCUCUUCUUCAUAUUCAACUUUCUCCGAACUGGUCUCUUCAUCUACAAUUUUGUUGACAUUUUCCUCAGACUUUUGUUCUCUUUCUUCCUUCACACACUCCUCGCUUGCCUAUUCGGGAAGUUGGUUUUGUUUUUUCAGUAUACAAGAAUUAUGAAAAAAAAAAAUAAAUGAUGAUUUAUAGGAAUAGGCUCAAAGUUUAUGAAGUUAAACCUUUUGGAAUAGUUAGAUUACUUAAAAUGAACAUGAAUUACCUCUUGAGCAUCACUUGAUUUGUCCUCCUGUUCCUUUUCUUCAUCUUCAACUUUGCUUGCCAUUUCAUUCUCUUUCAGGGCAAUAUUGUAACUGUCCGAAAGCUGUAACCCUUCUUCAUAUCCAGUUUUCUCUGAAACAGUCUCUUCACUUGCUUCUUUUACAAUGGGGCUUUCAGACUUGAUCUCUGUUAAAGAACUAUCAGAAUGCUUUACCUCUUCUUUAUAUUCAACUUUUUGUAAACCAGUUUCUUCACUCUGAAUUGCUUCAUCAUUUUUUAUUUCAUGUUCUGCACUUAUUACAUGAGGCUCUGUUUGUGAUGUGAUGCAAUCUUCAGGUAUGACUUCUGUUUUCUCCUCUGUUUCAACACUUGGUUUGAUUUCUUCAGUAUCUUCCUUUUGCUCAAUCUCUGAAGAAGACUGUACAAAUUUAUCGACACUUUCCUCAUGCUCUUGUUCUCUUUCUUCCUUUGCUCCAUUCUCACACU